UUAAGACUUUUCCGAUAUUUUCAUUCUCUUGCAUCGUUACAGUUUCUUUGGGCACCAUCAUUUGUAAUUAAACACUUCCAAGUCAUUUCAAACAAAUUUUCCACUAUUUCAUUGAAUGCGCUGCAUCUUCUCUCCCCCCCCCCCCCCCCCCACACCAAAAAAAGGGGAGGCGGCGCAAAUGGAGGAGAUGAAGGAAAAAUCUGUUGAAAUUAAUUUCGUAGUUGAAGUUUAUAAAUGCAAGAUGAUAUGAUCUCUCAGUCUAUUAAAUACUGAUGUGCAAGAACUUUAGCACUAUGUGACCUAAUAUCUCAAGUAAAUAGGAGAGAACAACUUGAGCACUUAAGAGGGCCAACGUUAAAUAAACUCCAGAGUGGCAUGUUGUAAUUGUUGGCUUAUUGUUAUGCAGAACUUUCCCGGUAGUGAAAUAAAAUCGAGAGGAAGAUGGGAGGAAAUAAAGAUCAAUGCGCUUUCUUGUAUUUCAUGGGUUAAAAAUCUUUUUAUCUGAUUACAAACUGAUAGAUAAAAUACCCUUAUAUCAUUUGUGAUUGAAUCUCUUAGGUCAAAUAUAUAAAGUUAGAACAAUCCUCAACUCAUUAGUUAGAUUUUGAGUAUGGCUUAAACCCAUGAACUUUUAUAUUUUACUAGAGAUACUCACCCACGAUUAUGCCCGCACUACCUCCCACAGUACCUUACCACUAGACGCCCUUCACAUGGAGGCUUGGGUACCACUUGAAAAGUCAUUUGAAAGAAAAGUCUGUUUAAAAUUACGUUCCAAUUCUGUAUUUUCAACUCUCCAAGUUAUAAAUUGAUAUUCAACUCUUAUGUUAUAAAAAAAGUAAUGCUAGAGCAUUCCAACUUGAGUACCAAUGGAUGUGGCAUUCAUUCAGUGGAUUGUAGAAUAUUUAUUUUAUCAGCUAUAAAAUUUAUUAUUCAAUAGAUAAUGAUAUAUGAUAGUUGGGACUCAAAUUGGGACUUAAUUGGUGGGACACAAUCAUGAUUGGUUAAAAAAGAUAUACAGAGAUAACCAUCGUAAGAGGUAAAUCAAAAACUCUUUCUUUCUCUCUGCUAAGACCCUUUCUGCCACCAGCUGAAAUUCAAACACUAGUUUUGAUCCAUCAACGUGCCUGAAUUACACAGCCACCACAUUUUCAAACAUCUAAACUCUCAAAUCUAUUUUUCAACUCCGUUUUUCCAACCACUGCAGUCUCGAACCAACCGGAACUCCACGCUGCUACUUGUAGCUGCCACGUCGCCAAUUUCCCAUCACCACAGCACAAAAAUAAAAUAAAAUAAAAAAUAUAUAUAUAUACACGGAGGAGAGAACAACUUGUAGACUUGAGAGGGCCAGGGUUAAUUAAAAGUCAAGUUGACUUGCAGGACUUUCAUUGUAUUGGGAUAAAAGCUAAAAGGAACCUAGAAGGAAUUUAAUUAAAGAUCAACGCAUGCAAUUGCUCUGUUAAAUCUUCAUUCUUCCAAGUAAAAAUAUUGAGAAUGGUUGUUCAUCAUUAUCUGGUGUUGCUGCAAUUGAUGAUUUUGCUAGUAUGGCCAAUCAAAGCAUCAAAAGAUUUAUGCCAAUAUGAUUGUGGCAAUGUCACUAUCAGUUACCCCUUCGGAAUCGGAGACGGUUGCUACUUUGAUAACAGUUUUGAAGUAUUCUGCGAUUACUCCUCUGGCUCCCCAAAAGCUUUUCUUGCGAGCAUCAACAACCUGCAAGUAUUGGACAGUCAUGUUUAUACUGUUUAUGAUUCAUCUACUUCUUUUUAUGUAUACAUGAUUAGGGUAUACAUUCCUGUAAUUUCUUUGAAGAUCAGUAACCUGACAAGCAGUGAUAAAGGGGUCAGUCUAUCAGGUAGCCCUUUUACAUUUUCCCGGUCGCGCAAUAGAUUCACUGCCAUAGGUUGCAACAACUAUUCUACGAUUAUUAAGCGACAGAAUGAUUCAUCCGUUUUUGGUGGGUGCCUUUCGAUUAUCACUUGUGAUCCUGCUCUUAACCCUGGUUGCUACGAUUUCCUAUGCGCCUUUCCUCAAAAUAUUACUGAGGUUUUCAAUGCACAAAUAUCUAAUUUUUAUUCUAAAAGUAUUCCUCUGGAAUGUCACUCUGUUUCCAUUGUUGAAGAUUAUUGGAUCACCUCCGGGUACCUGAAGAAUCCUCACGUUUUGAAAGAUCAUGAACAAGUUCCUGCACUGUUGGAGUGGCUUGAGUAUAAAGGAUAUUGUUAUGAAGAAUAUAAUUCGAAAACUACUUGUAACAAGGACAAUAGAUGUUUAAUACAAUUAAGCUCAGGCUACCUUUGCAUUUGCUUUAGGGAAACAAGCUUUGACCGACACCACCAUGGAUAUUGCUCAGGUACAAUUUCGAAUACUAAUUAAAUUAAUUUCAUAUAUGAAGUGUAUACUACAUUUCCUUGAACCAACUACGUAUCUAACACAAAAUUAGUGAAAGUAAUUGCAGAAUUCGCAUAUGUAAAAAAGGAAAGAUUUAUAUAUAGCCAUAAUUUAUUUUGAUAUUCUAUUUCAUCUUUUGGGUUUGUUUAGGUUUCUUGUUCUAUAAUAUCACAAGCCCCUACAAUUACUCCUCAGGAUGUCCCAAAGGUUACUUUUCAGAUCCCAACUCAAGUAUCUGCGCCCAAAAUCGUAGGACAAGUUCAUAUGAACUUCUUCAAAUUAUGCACAAAAAUUCUCAUGUCAAAUUCAUUAUUAUAGGUAUGUAUUGGAAUUUGCAGAUUUUGUCGACAGAAUUAACUGAUUUUUAAUUACCGUAUAUAUAUGGGCUCACAAACGCAAAAACGUUCUGCACCUGAAAUUUGCAAUAGCAUAUACAUUUAUGAUCUCCUACUCUUAACAGACUAAACAGUUCCUUGCCAUAAAUCGCCGAACGCGUAUUAAAUAUUCUUGUCCUGGAGCGUUGCAGGUUGCAAUAGUGGGCUUGGAAUGUUGUUCCUACUAAUCGGAAUAUGGUGGUUGUGCAAGUUCGUUAAAAGAAGAAGAGAAACCAAGCUCAAACAGAAGUUCUUUAAAAGAAAUGGUGGUUUAUUAUUGCAACAACAAUCGUCAUCAAAUGAAGGUAAUACCGAGAAAACAAAAUUGUUUACUUCAAUGGAAUUGGAAAUGGCUACUGACAACUUCAAUACCAAUCGAAUCCUUGGUCAAGGAGGCCAAGGCACAGUGUACAAGGGAAUGUUGACAGAUGGAAGAAUUGCGGCUGUGAAAAAAUCCAAAUUAGUGGAUGAGAGUAAUAUUGAGCAAUUCAUCAAUGAGGUGGUAAUUUUAACUCAAAUUAACCACAGAAAUGUUGUUAAAUUGUUCGGGUGCUGCUUGGAGACAGAGGUUCCUCUUUUGGUGUAUGAAUUUAUUCCAAAUGGAACUCUCUAUCAAUAUAUACAUGACCAAACUGAGGAGUUCUCAAUCACAUGGGAAAUGCGUUUACGCAUUGCUGUAGAAGUUUCAAGUGCUCUAUCCUAUUUGCAUUCAACUACUUCUAUUCCAAUUUAUCAUCGAGACAUCAAGUCUGCAAAUAUACUUUUGGAUGAUAAAUUUCGAGCAAAAGUUUCGGACUUUGGGGCUUCUAGAUCCGUCACGAUUGAUCAAACUCACUUGACCACACGAGUACAAGGAACUUUUGGAUAUCUAGAUCCAGAGUACUUUGGGUCAAGUCAAUUUACAGAGAAAAGUGAUGUUUAUAGUUUUGGAGUUGUCCUUGUUGAGCUUUUAACUGGACAAAAACCUAUCCUUUCAACCGACACGGAAGAAGAUAAAAGUUUAGCAGGGGUUAUUUUCUCUCCGAGAGCAAAUGAAAAGAGAGAAACCAUUUUGUUUUGAUGUGUGCUUGAUGGCUCUCAAAGUUCUUUAAGAAAGCCCAAGGAAGGAAAGAGAAUUAUUUACCGUGGUUAUGGCUUGCAAAAAGGAUGCUUGAACUUUGAAGGGGAGGAAGAAGACUUCCUAGGAAAGAAGUACCAUUUGGAAUUUAGGGGGGAUUAGAGCUCAAAGUGUGAAGACAUUCAUCUUGUGGAUGCCAAUUUGAAACUGUCAUCUCCAACUGAGAGCCAUUUUAAAUGCUGUUGCUUUUUCUGUAGAUGCUAAUCCUUUGCUUUCAAACAAGUGGUGAUUAAAGGGAAGAAUUUUCCUUUAAAAUCUAAGUAUUUCAUUUCAUAAAUAAAUUAAGCUGUGGAUUUUUGCAUUAUGCUUCUCUUAUGGUUAAAAUUUUUCAUCUCUAGAAUAAAAUAUACAGAGUUUGAUGUUCGGUUUGUAAGCGGAGAAAUAAAUUUAUAAGGUAGAUUCCAACAAAGCAUCUGUGGCAAACAUAUUUAAAUAUCUAAGAAGCAAGCUUCUAAUGCUACCAAUAUUUAGGGGCCCUGUGCUUGAAGAAACAGAACUUUGAAGCUGACAGAGUGAGGCAUCUCAGCAUCUGAAUCUGCAUACAAGUGGAACAGGAGAUGCCGACAUGACAUCCUACGUGGAACUUAUGUGACACAUACAAUGAAUCCAGUUCGUUCCUAAUUCAUACGCUUACAUUGUAACCCCGUUCUGUGUGUUUCGAGUACCAUUGGCGAACCAUCACUUCGUGCCUUUGUAUUGCUAAUAGUACCUUUGCCUUGAUUGAUUUUGCUGACAAUAUAUAGGUUGUGUUUGGAAGUGAAGUACUAUAACUUUUAUGUUACGUUUACUUCCUGGAUUAGGGAAUCGGAAUCAUUAACAACGUUUAUCUCGCAAAAUAGAUUUAGGAAUCAAAAUCGGAAUCGGAAUCGUGGGACCCACCACAAUUUGGGAAUGAGCAAUGGGAGACUCAUUCCUAGGGGGAGGUGGGAAUGAGUCUCCCAUUUUCGGGAGUGACUGUUUUACCCUCCCCCAAAAUUAAAAAUGUUCAUAUUGUCCUCAUUUAUAAUUAAUUAAUAUAUUAUUAUAAUUAAUAAAUAAAUAAAUAUAUUGUUAACAAUAAUUAUUAAUAAUUUUAGUAUUUAAUAAAUAAUCACAAUAAUUAAUAUAUUAAUAUUAUUAAUUAAUUAUUAUAAUUAUUACUAUUAAUUAAUAUAUUAAUAUAUUAUUAACAAUAAUUAUUAAUAAUUUUAAUUUUUGAUAAAUAAUCACAAUAAUUAAUAUACUUUUAUUAUAAUUAAUUAGUAUACUAUUAUAAUAAUUACUAAUAUAAUUAUUUUAAUUAAUUCAUAUAUAUUAUUAAUUAAUUUAUAUAACUAUUACUAUUAAUUAAUAUGUUAGUAUAUUAUUAACAAUGAUAUAUUAAUAAUUAUAGUUUUGAAUAAAUAAUUACAAUAAUUAAUAUAUUUUUAUAAUAAUAGUUAAUAUAAUUAGUUAAAAAAAUUUACAAUUAAUUAAUAUAUUAAUAUAUUCUUGACAAUAAUUAAUAAUAAUAAUAAUUUUUUAAUAAAUAAUCACUAUAAAAUAAUAAUUAUGACAAUAAUUUGUUAAGUACUUUUUAGUAAUUUGUUACAAUUUAACUCAUUCUGAUUCCAAUUCCAAGAUAAAAUAAACACAUCAGUGGGAUUCUAGCUCAUCCUUAUUCUGAUUCAUGUAGGUCAACUAAACAAUUUAUUCUAAUUCUUUUUCCUCAUUCCGAUUCCAGCCCAUUCCAAUUACUAACAAGUAAACGCAGCAUUAAGAUGCAGAUGCUGUGGAGUAAAAGUCAUAGUUGUGGGAUAAAAGCUGCUAGUGUUUAGCAAAUUUUAAUAGUUGUAGAGUAGAAGCUAAUGGUGUUUGGUAAAUUUUAAUAGUUGUAUAGUGAAAGUUGAUGAAUAUUUGUAAUAAUUAAUUUUAAAUAAAAUUAUUUUUAAUUAUUAAUUAGUCAAAUUAUUUUUCAUAUUUUGAAUUAUCAUAUUAACUUAUGAUUAUGUUUAUUACUUUGACAAAUCAAAUUAAUAGUUAAUUAAUCAAAGUUAUUUUUCUUCACAAGCUGUAAUAAAUAUUUUUUAAAACAAAAUAAUUUAAAAAUUGAAAAUAAAUAAAUUCUAAUUUUACACAUUGAUUGUAGAAAUAAAUUAUACCAAAUGUGUCUAAUAAAGAUCAUACAACAUAACAUUAUCUACACAACUUAAAAGUGACUUUUAACCCACAAGUAUAAAAGUGUCUUGUUGUAUUAUAGCUCGGUGAGUCCAAGGUCGAUUCACAGAGAAAAUAUUUAAUUUGUUUAUUUUAUUUUAUCUAAAAAUGGAAAUAAAAUUUAAAUAUAAACAACUUAAUUUAAAUCAAAUUAUGAAAUUGAAUUAGUUAGGGUUAUGGAUCCACUCUUAGUAGUAAAUAAAAUUUAAUAAAUUCUUUUUACUAUUUUUUUAGAUUUAUUACCCAAAAGAUUAAUUAUGUAAAUUAUUAUUAUUUUCCUAUUAAUUUUAUUAUGGAUUAAGUAUUUAAUGUGCCAAAAUUUAAUUUUUCCACAAUAAAUCAAAAUACCAUUUUAUCAUACCUUAUAUUAAGAUAUUAAGAAUUUAUUGUGCCAAACUCUCUUGUUUGUCUACAAUAAAUCAAAAUUUCAAAAUAUAAAAUAUGUAUAAAAUUAAAUAGAAAAUAAUUUAAUUUAUAAAAUUAAAAAUAAAUUUUGAUUAAAUCAUAUUUAUUUCCUAAGAGUUUCACCUUACCCUAACUAUUAUUAUUUAGUUAAGAUAAUUGAAAUAAAAGUAAUUACUAAAAUUAAAUUAAACAUAAUUAAAAUGAAUAAAAAAACUAAAAUUAAAAAUAAAACUAAAUUUAAUUAUAAAAAUAAUUAAGCAAAAUAUUAAAAACACACCUGAAAAACAAGAUUACAGGGAGAUUGAGAGAAAUUGAGAAGACGAGAUGAUAAAAAACAUAAAAAGUGAGGCUCUAUUUAUAGAAAAAUAAAUUCAUGAUCCAGUGUCUUGCAGUCCAUCAUAAGCUUUAUGCAUGCGCUCUUCACAACCAUUAGAUCAAAGAUCCAACGGCUGCUCAAACUUCAAAAGUCAACAUCACACACAGCAUCAUGUGAAACGUCCGAUUCGGUCAAAGAACGGUUGAGAUUUGGCGGGUUAAUGGGUGGAUCAGAUUGACUCGAAUACAAAGGUUCGAAUCCUACAACUUACUUCACCAACCAUUGCCACGUGGCACAAUUGCGGCCAUUGAAUCAUGAACGGUUGAGAUUUAGUUAAAAUUGCAAGUUAUGCCAUGCACUCAUAUAUAUUGUAAGCUCACUUUAUCAUACAAUCAGUGCUCGGUCAACCGAAAACGUCAACCUUCUUUUACAAAAGCUCAAUUUUAAGCCGAUGUGGACUCAUCUUAAGGUUUUCAAACCUCCGGAAUCCAUAUUUGACAUCCGUUUAUCUGUUUGGAGCCUCGAACUAUGUGAAAUUAAUAUUUUACGUAAUAAACACACAAAAAUAUACAAAAUUAAAUAUAAUUAAGACAUAAUUAAUAAUUCCUAAUAUAUUGGAUAAACACAAAUAUAAAUGAUAAUAUAAUCACAAAAUAACAUUUUUAUCGCUUGAUAAUUAAACAAUUUUUAAUACCAAUCAAUUAUAAAAUUAAAAUGUAACUAAUUUCAAAAUUCUUAUAAACAUUUCCAUUGUCAUGCCUCCAUUAAACUUGCAACAAUGCCAUCUCUCAAGAUUAUUAUAUUUUGAGCUAUGUUAUCAAUUGUAUUAUAACUUUCUUUAGGAGACGCAAUCUUGCUUAUAUGUUCGUUAUUACUAUGACUUGGUUCAUCCAUUGUUUCAUCAAAAUGAUCAUGAUUUUGUGAAUAUCUUCUUAUGUAAUUAUGUAAGGCCAUGGUAGUAAUAACACUCGCUUCUUGAAUGUAUAGCUUGGCAUAUUUCGUAAAAUCUUCCACGUGUUAUUUCAAACCCCAAAAGUACCCAUUAGAGUUAGCAGUACUCUAAACACUAAGAGAUUCAGAUGCCUCAUUACUCUCUAAAGGAAAACCAAAUGAGGGAAGUCAAACAUGCUCACUCAUAACCACUGUGUUUGAACAUUAAAUUUAGGUUUUUCUCUAACUUUGGAUCAAUAACAUUUUUUCGAAAUCUACUCAAUUGCAAAUUUUCCUUUAUUUUCUUUUCCCACCAGUCUUCACUUGCAUCAACUAUCCAGGGGCAAAGCUAUGAGGGGGCUAACCCGGGCUGUAGCCUGGGUUAGUUUCUUGAAAAAAAAAAUAGUUAAUUAUAAAUUUAUUUAAAAAAAACUUAUAGUAAAAUAUAAAAUAUAACGAAUAAUUAUUGUCAAUAUCUAUUUUCUCUAAAUCGAAAAACUCACCUUCCCUGACUAAUUGAUCUAAUUAUCCAAAAUCUAAAUUCCCAAAGACUCAACUGUUCAAGUCAUUAACUUGCUGCUUUAUGAGUGACAGCCAGCCUCUACCGCACCCGCAUAAUCAUAUUGUCUUUGAAUUAGUUAUUAGCUUAUACUUUUGUCAAAUUUUUUGAUAAAAUAAUUAAUAAUUCUCUAAUAUAUUAUUAUCGCAGACAAUAUCAAUUCAGAUACGAUAAUACAUGAGUUUUCUUUUUUGAAGAAUCAGAAGACAAAACUUCUUUGAUAGUGUUUUUGAUUUACAUUGCACCUUUACAGUUUUAUUAUUAGUUUUUUGCUUGUCUAGUGUAUUUUAAUAAUUUCAUUUGUAUAGAAUAAAUUUUUUGAGAAGUAAAAUUGAAUUAAAAAAAAAAUCUAGCCCACCCCAAAAUAUAUUGCUAGCUUCGCCACUGCAACGAUCCAUAACCUAUGAUUCCACCCUAGACUAGCUUCCUAGCUAAUCAAAUUCUUCCACAGUUUCCAAUUAGUUCUAAUAGAAUCCCAUUUUUUUUUCAUCUGAAUUCUAUUGUAAUCCAAUCCAGUUUCUUUAGUGGAUUCCUUAAUUAAAUUUUCAUAUCCUUCGGAAGUCACAUGAGUCCUAGGACGAUGUUCGGCAUCCACUGCCUUAAUACAUAACUCACAAAAUACAUUUGAAGUCUGGGAGUUCCAGGUCGCCUUACUAGUUGAGCUAUUAGACAUAAUUGCGUACACUUAAACCUAGAAAAUAGAAUAAUAUUUUGUCAUCAAACAACAAUAUAGGAAAGAGAUUAAUUAAGAGCAAUACCCAAUUUUCUUUUUAAAACAAAUAACAUUAAUUAAGGAUGAAUUAUGUCUAGCAACAAGGAUGAUUUAUGCCUUACAUUACAUAUCCUGUUUCAAAAUGAGUUGUUAGUUUAAUAAACCUGGGGUUUCCUCUAAUUAAAUACCAUGUUUCGAAGAAAUUAAAAUAUUUUUUCUCAAUAGUUUAAUUUUUUGUAGUUACCUUUAAGUGAAUCCUUUAAAAUUUAUGAGAAGCUGAAAUGAUUUGUUCAAAAACAUGUAUUGUUGGAAUAUAUAGGAAUUGGUUACUUGUUUGUUGCUGCCUUUAAUGAUUUUUAUUACGGAAAUUUCAUCAAACAAGGAUUGUGCAUGUCUAUAAAAAGCAACUAAAAAAAAUUAAAAAUGCAAUAAAAAUAGUGACUUCAAAGCAAAUAAAUCACACGUGACCAAUCACCUAUUAAUUUAUUCUAAGUAAAAGCUCCAGUACAUUCUGAACAAAAAGGAAGAAAAUGAAAAAUUACAUGUAACAAAGUAAAGGAAAACUCAAAAAAUGAACAACGGGUAAAGGAAAAUGCACAUUACUUAGAUAUUUUAAAAACAAAGAUAGAACAUAUUUGUAUGAAAAUGACUGGUGUCAGAAUCGUGUCAAUGAGAAUUACCGAUGUUGCAUCGAUGAGAACUGUCGAUAUUGGAAUCAUGCUAAUAAGAACAAUGUUUAGAGUUUGUUUUAUGGAAAAAUCAAUUUGAGUUUAAGUUUAAAAAUGAGGAGGAUAAAAUCGAAAUUAAAUAAUAUGUAAGGGUAAUUUAGUAAUUUAAUAUAUAGCUAAGAAAAAUUUUUGCUUACCUGCUAAAGCCCGACUCCAAAGUGUUACUACUGAAAAUGAGGGGAUGAUAUAUGGAAAAAAGAAGCUUCAUUUUAAAUUAAUGCACAAAAACAAUUUAAAGAUUUAAGAGAUCUAAUUUGUCGUUUCAUUUCACUAAAAUGUAUUGAUAGAUAAAAUUAGCCAUUAGGUGUGUCUUAUCCUAAAAUUAAUCUUUCACGAAGUCCUUAGAAACAAUAAAAUACUAUUACAUAGCCCGGAAAGCGUUUGUAUUAAGUUAUAGAAUUAGGUGUCUCUUACACAUAUGUCUUCCCUGAAUAAAAGCGUUCGUAUUAAGUUAUGAAAUGGUGGAUUAUUAUGCCAAACAAACGGCUAUUUCCCUUUCAAAAUUAUUAAGUUAUGAAAUGGUGGAUUAUUAUACCAAACAAACGGCUCUAUCCCUUUCAAAAUUAUUGGACGUAUUUUUCAAGGAAACCUCCUCUAUCUUUCUUCCAAUUAAUGUCCAGUUAAGACUUCCGUGGGUCCAAUUAAUGUCAAUCGUUUUUGAAUGUGUACAGGAUAACAACUUGAAGACUUGAGAGGGCCAGCGUUAAUUCAAAGUCAAGACUAGGCUAUUACCCUGCAGGAUUCUUGAUAGUGAGGUGAAAAAAAAAAGGGUUGAAAGAGAUUAGGAUUUAACGCUGAGUUUAGUUUUUAUUGACCACUAAGUUAAUUAUUAAAAUUUAUUUUGUGCUUUUUCUUUCAUUUAUCUUACAUAACAAUUAUUUAUUGAGAUUCUUGUCCAAUUGAAAGAUAUUAGAUAAAAGGUUAUUAAAACUUUAGUUAUUUUUGUGUAUAAAACAAAAACUUUGGAUUAUUUAGUUUCAAAAGAAAAAAAAUCGAGACUUUGAGUUGCUUUGGAACAAAUUAUAUUUGAAAUUGAAAAGAAGAAGAAAAAAACCAUACAACGAGAAAGAGAAAAUAUAAAUGGGGUUAAUUCUAAUAAUAUGUCCUUAAAUAUAAUUGUAUAUAAUAGGGGUUUUAUAAGAUUAAUGAAGAGGUGAUCCAACAUUUUCACAAUUUGUUUUCAAUUUUUAUUCAUCACCCCGAUGCCCCAAUUUAUUUUCGUUAUUAUGUAGGUGUGGUGUUACUAGAAAUCAAAUGCUGCCUUUUUUUUCUUUUUUCUUUUUUCUUUUCUUUUCCUCUCCUCUCCUCACUUAUAGUGGAAUAUGGAGAAUUAAACAAAACCAAUUCCCAAUCAACGUUAACAUACGUUAUAUAAUAUAUUACACAUUACAAUUAUUUGUAUUUGAACCAGACUCGAAACAAAAAUUGGGUAGCCGCUUGCUGGAUUUUGUAUGGAACUUAGAGGAGAAACUUGGUAAUGAAGUGUGUGGAGGUGCGGAGACAACAGUCAGUAGGCGGUAGCAGCAGAUCUGGUCGUGGUCCUCACAGAGCAGUAGAUCAGCUGGCGGUUGGCGUUGGCGGUGAUUGUGGCGAGCGUGUGUUGGUUGCGGCUGUGUGUGUGUGUGUGUGUGUGUUUCUACUUGUGUUGAGUGUUGACUUGAGGGUGGGGAAGUGACCCAUGAGGCGUGAAGGAGGGGAGUAGAGGCUGGAGUGCGCUGUGUGGUCUCUCGUUGAGGUUUGAGGGGGAGGUAGUGAGGCGUGAGGGAGGGGAAUGAGGCUGCUGGGUACGGCUGGGUGCGCUGAGUGUGUGGUCUACUAGUUUUAUGCCUCUAUCUCUACUCGUUUUGUGCCUCCAUCUCCGUGAUGUGUGUCGUAUACGUGUGUGGUGUGUGAGGCUAUGUAGUGUGUGGUCUGUGCUCUGCAGCGUCACUAGUGCUUGAGUGCUUGUUGUUGGAUGCAUGUGUGUUGUAUCAGUGUGGGUUGUUCACUUUCUUCUUUAAGCCAACCCAUUCAGGUUAUCGAAUUGGAUCAGAUUUCACCCGAUCCGAUCGGGUUGGCAACAUUUGAUCCGAUCGGAUAUUAUGGUCAAUCCGAUCCGAUCUGAACCUAAUUUUUUUCGGAUCGAAUCGGGUUGGAUUGGUUAUUUUGCCCACCCCUACUGCCCACUGUCCCCCCUUGCCUCCUCACCAUACAAAUAACAAUUGAAAAUUAGGCCAAUUAAAUUAAAGGCAAGACGGGAUGGAAAUAUGGAAUCGUUAAUUAUUAUACCCAUGACCCCUCUAAUUAAUGGUUAUUUCCCUUUUGAUAUUAUUGUACGUGUUUGAAAGGAAACCUCAUCUAUCUUCCUUCCAAUUAAGACUAUUGUAUGUCCAAUUAAUGUAAAUUGUUUUUGAACGUGUAGAGGAUAACAUGACAAUGCGGAGACAUUUAAAGUUGAUUGAUAGAAGGAAAAAAUUUCCUAAAUAAUGAAGUUAAUUGAAAAAAUUUUAAAUUAACAAAACUAGAGUUUUAGAUCUUUUUAUAUAAUAACUUUAACUAUAAUAAAAUUCUCCUAAUCUGAAUAAAAAAUCCAAAACAAACAGUGCUCAAAUAUGUUAUUUAGGAAAAAAAAGAUAAAACUUUUAGAAGAAAUAAGAAAAAAUGGACGAAUAUCUUAAAAACGAAAAAUGACAAGGAAAGAAACAAAUUUCUAGGCUCAAGUAAGGCCCAAAAUGGCAUAAGCUUUAUAAGCUUGAUUUGUCUUCUCGUAAACUUUAAAACGAUAUAUUAUACACUCAAAACGGAUACAUAUGGCCUAAAUUACGCCCUUUGGAAAGUACCCUUCUCAUCCCACACGCCCAUCAUACAUUAGUCCCUCUCACUUGGAAAAGAACUCGCCAUCGAGUUUGACUCGUACAACGCCUCAUCAUCUAAAUGAUAUUUAAACAGAUCAACCAUAUUGAAUGUGUAAGAGAUCUUCUAGUUGUCCGGUAGUUGGAGAACAUAAGAAUUAUUAUUAAUCUUCCUUGCCACACGAAAUGGUCCAUACUUGAUGUGGACUUGCAUCACUUUCCCGUGUCGAUGCCUGUUCGCAUCGACCUUGUACAUAGCAUUUGCAACCUCCAAAUGAGCUCGUACCUUGGCAUGAAUCUGUAGAGCCCUUUCUUUUCUACCACAUUAUUCACUAUUUUUUAUACGAACCCCAUCAAGAACUAACACGACCCUAAUCAAUUUAGUUCCUAAGAUCGAAUCUAAACCAGGAAUUGAAUGGAACCCCGACCCAAUGCUUAAUGAAAGCACGAACCUUGGUAUGUGAAGACGCCACAAUCAGCUAUGGAUGGUCUGAUUGAUAAGUCAAGAGUUUGAACGUCACGGAAAUUCAAUAAGUUCAAAGAGUUUGUAAAGAACCAAAGAGAAUUAACUCUCUCACCAAUUGCAUCAAAAUUUAUCUCUGCUUAUUGGAUACGAAUACAUUAUAUGGGGCUGGUUACAAGAAUUUUUGGAAAUAAAUCCUAAGCCAAAAAUCAAAUCUGAAUAUGAAUAUAAACAAAUAGGAAAGAAUAUAAAUCAAAUUAGAAUCCUAAUCUAAGUAAAUAGGAAAGAAUAUAAAUCAAAUCAGGAUCCUAAUUGGCUUAAAUGUCUUACAUCAAUUAAAAUGGAAACUAGGCGAUUAAAAUAGAAAUAAUUGAUUUGUUUCCUUAAUAGCCUCCUCAAGAAACGAGAAAGUAUCUGAAAAAAAGAAAAAUAAUAUAUUUUCCCGCCAUAAUGUGCAAGCCAACUCCUUAUUUCAUGGAAAUAAUUAUUUGGAAACUUCAAGAGCCUAAAUCAUCCAUUUAUCACGAUUCCUUCAACGGGCCUCCACGAAUUUGAUUGAGCCCAAGUUGCUUGAAUCAAUCCAUUACGCGCUUCUUUGAAUUUCUUUGCUCGAUCUCUUGUAACAGGUCCGACGGGAACUUGAGUAGGAUCUGAAUAUGCCUCAUCCCAUGUGUUUGUGAUAGUUUUAUCCUUAAUCUCAUCAUUCCCCUCCUUUUGAAGAGGAUUUGUCCUCAAAUCAUCACCUACAUCAAAAGAACUCAAAUUAGAAACAUGAAAAGUAGCACUUACAUUGUACUCACCAGGAAAAUCCAGUUUCUAGGCAUUGUUAUUGAUCCGUUCCAAAACUUGGAAUGGGCCAUCCCCUCGAGGUAAUAACUUAGAUUUCCUUUGUUUAAGAAAUCGUUCCUUGUGCAUGUGUAACCACACCUAAUCGUCGGGUUCAAAGACUAGCUUAUGUCGCCCUUUGUUAGCUUGUUUAGCAUAUUGCUCAAUUAUCCUCUCAAUGUUGAACUUCGCCUUUUCAUGUAUCUGUUUAACAAUUUCAGCCUUUUUCUUGCCAUCUAAGUUAACACGAUAAAAAAUAGGUAAUGGAGUUAAAUCCAAUGGGGUUAAAGGAUUAAAACCAUAAACAAUUUCAAAUGGUGAAUACUUAGUAGAAGAAUGAACAGAACGAUUAUAAGCAAACUCAACCUGUGGUAAACAAUAUUCCCAAGUUUUGAUGUUCUUUUUAAUGAUAGCUCACAACAAAGUAGAUAAAGUUCUAUUCACAACUUCUGUUUGACCAUCAGUUUGUGGGUGAAAACAACAACUAAGUUCCUAACUUAGCCCAUAAUAUUUUCCAAAAGUAACUUAAAAACUUAACAUCCAUAUCAGAAAAAUUGUCCUGAGCAUACCAUGCAACCUUACAAUCUCCCUAAAGAAUAGGUCAGUGACAUUAUAAGCAUCAUCCGUUUUGUGACAUGGAAUAAAAUGUGCCAUAUUUGAAAAUUUAUUUACAACCACAAAAAUUGAGUCUUUCCCUUGUUUAGACCUAGGUAAACCUAGUACAAAAUCCAUCGAAACAUCAGUCCAAGGUGCACUAGGUAUUGGAAAAGGGGUGUAUAAGCCAUAAGGUUGCACUUUCGAUUUGGCUUGCCUAUAAGUGACACAUUUACUACAAAGUCUUUCAACAUCUCGUUUCAUAUGUGGCCAAUAGAAGUGUUCCUGUCAAACUGCUAGUCUUUACAACUCCAAAAUGCCUUAUUAACCCUCCUCCAUGGGAUUCUCUCACUAACAAAUCUCUCAAAGAACGGUUAGGCACACAUAAUUUAUUCUCCUGAAAUAAAUAGUCAUCAUGCCUAAAGUAUUUACUGACUGUGGUCUUUUCACAAGCUUGGUAUUCAACAUUAAAAUCAUGGUCAUCAGCAUACAAUUCCUUAAUAUGUUCAAAACUAAGUAGUUUAGCAUUAAGUGUUGAUAUUAAGACAUACCUGCGGGAAAGCGCAUAUGCAACAAUAUUUUUUUACCUUACUUGUAACGAAUGACAUAUGGAAAUGUCUCUAUGAAUUUUACCCAUCGAACAUGCCUCUUGUUCAGCUUGUGUUGGCCUUUAAGGUGUUUUGAGGACUUAUGAUCGGUGUGAAUCAUGAACUCCUUAGGCUAUAGGUAGUGUUGCGACAUUUCUAACGCUCGAACCAGCACAUACAACUCCUUAUCAUAAGUAGGGUAGUUUAAGUUUGCCCCACUCAGGUUUUCACUAACGUAAGCAAUUGGUCGUCCCUCCUACAUUAGGACUGCACCAAUACCAAUCCUGAGGCAUCGCAUUCAAUUUCAAAUGUUUUAUUAAAGUUAGGCAAAGAGAAUAAUGGAGCAUUUGUCAGCUUUUGCUUGAUCAUUUGAAAUGUCUCCUCUUGUGCUUCUCCCCACUUGAAUCCAACAUUUUGUUUUAUUACUUUAGUAAGCAGUGCGGCUAGUGUGCUAAAGUCUUUCAUAAAUCAUUGGUAGAAACUAGCGAGCACAUGAAAGCUUCUCACAUUACUUACACUUGUGGGACUCGGCCAGUCUUGGAUUGCACAUACCUUUUCCUCAUCAACUUGUAUACCAUGUGCACUGACAAUAAAUUCUAGAAACACACAUUUAUUUUCUAAGCAUGUCUAAAAAAAAUUUCAAAUGUAUUACAUGAUCGUUUAUGUUUUUGCUAUAAAUGAGGAUAUCAUCAAAAUAAACAACAACAAACUUGUCAAUAAAAGAUCGCAAGACAUGAUUCAUAAGUCUCAUAAAAGUGCUCGGGGCAUUAGUUAGACCAAAAUGCAUGACUAAUCAUUCAUAUAAACCAUAUUUUGUUUUAAUGGCAGUUUUCUAUUCAUCUUCUUCUUUCAUUCUAAUAUGAUGAUAUCCACUUUUCAAAUCAAUUUUGGAAAAUACACAAGACCCAUGUAAUUCAUCAAGCAUAUCAUCUAACCUAGUAAUGAGAUGUCGAUGCUUUACCGUUGUGUUGUUGAUGGCUCGACAAUCAACACACAUCCUCCACAUCUCAUCCUUCUUAGGAACUAAUAAAACGGGAAUUGCACAUGGACUCACGCUUUCUCUCACGUACCCUUUUUUCCAUUAAUUCAUUAACCUGCCUUUAAAGUUCCUUGGUCUCCUCCAGGUUGCUCCUAUAGGCUGGUCUAUUUGGAAUGGUUGUACCGGGCACAAAAUCAAUCUGAUGCUUAAUCCCUUGGAUUGGAAGUAAACCAUGUGGUGCUUCCUCAGGAAAGAUAUCCUCAUACUCCUGUAAACGAGAAGUAAUAGAACUAGGCAAGGUAUGGUCAAAUUCGUUAGUGCUUAAAAAUGUCUCUUUGUACAAAACUACAAUCAUCGACUGAUGUAAAAACAAUGCUUUUUUAAUCUCAUUGGCUCUCGCGUAGAAAUUCUUUUGUUUUCCAUCUGAUUUUCGCUCAAUGGGCGCAUUUUUCUUUGGUUUUUCUCUCACAUUUUACUCUGCCUCGUUUUGAAUUUCACUACCUUUUUCUCUCAUUUUCUUUUGCUCACUCUUUCUUUGUAAGCUCACUUGGUCUCCAUAAGCCUACUUUGGUGUCAAUGGAACAAGAGUGAUGUUGUAUUAAUUAAAUACAAAUGAAUAUUUAUUGGUGAAGCCAUCAUGCUUCACACGUCUGUCGAAUUGCCAAGGCCACCCAAGUAAUAAGUGUCUAGCCUGCAUUGGCAUUAUAUCACAAAGCACCUUAUCUUCAUACUUUCCAAUCCGAAAGUCACUAGUAACUACUUGUUCACUUGCACCUCACCACUGUCAUUUAACCAUUGUAAUUUAUAUGACCAUGGGUGUUUAAGUGUCGGAAGCCCUAACUUCUCUACCAUGAUAGUACUAGCAACAUUAGUACAACUUCCUCCAUCAAUAAUCAUACUACAUACUUUGUCUUGAGCAUAGCACCUAGUAUGGAAAAUGUUUUCCCGUUGCACUGCUUCGUCUUCCUUUACUUGUACACUCAAACCUCUCCUCGCUACUAAAGUCAAUUCCCCAGGGGCUAUUGUUGUGAAAAUUUUAAUAUACUCGCAAGCGCACGAAUCUAGAAAUAAAAUAGUGGUAACGAGGUCGAUCCCACAGGGAAUGUUAUAAAUUGUAAAGUCUAAUUUAAAUCUAAAAUUAAUAUUAAUCCUAACCUAGUUGAGCAAAUUGAGUUUUAAAAGAAAUUAAACUAAUUAAACUAACAAAGCAAUUAAAGUAAAUGAGAUUUCAAUAAGACAAAAAUUACCAAGGUUUCAAAAUCUACCACUAUUCAACUAGUAAUUAUCCAAUUAUUAAUUAAUCCCCAAUUUUAGAGUGACAACUCGAAAUUAAUCUAUGUCAUCUCAUGGAUAUAACAAUUAAGCCCAAAUAAAAUUAAUCUUGUGUAGGUUCUUUUUCUGCUUAAUAGUGUGAUAUUUAAGCGUCCCAUAUAAACAUAUUGAAUAACAAAGAGUCAAAGUUUCCUAAUUACUCUGUGUAAACAAUUUAAUGAAAGACAUAGAAUCAAAGAUAAUCAUGUAUAAACUUUAUAGAUGCAAGCAUAGAUUUAAUCGAAUAGUAAUCCUAACAAUCAACAAUGCAUGACAGAAUUGAUGAAAAGAUUUUAAUAACAUCCAACUAAUCAUGUGAAAUAAAAACCAUAAUCAUCAAAGAAUAUAUAUAGGGAAUUAAUUAAAUAAAAAUAUAAUUAUUUCAUUGAAUAGGGUUUCAUUCUUAACCUCAGCAUAAGAAAAUUAGCUAGACAUACUUGAAUUGGGAGCAACAAAAGAAAUAAAAUCAGCCAUGGAAAAAGUAAAUUGCUUCAGCUCUUCCUUUUCCUCUCUGCCGAAGCAUUUGCUUCCUUUUUCUUCCUCUGGCGGCUGCCCUUCUCCAAAAACCAAAAGCUUGCUUUUAUAUUACUCUUUAAAAUGGGCCCCACUGACCUUGUUAUUUCUUAAGCCAAAAGGCUUGGCCUUUUAAUUUUCUUUGCUCUCACUCACGUGCUCACCAAUUAAGCUUGCACUAGGAUUCUUUUUUCCACUUAUGAAAGCCAAGUGUGGGUCCUUUUAAGUUGCUUUCCAUGCAUUACAAUGCCAUGCACGUCCAGCUCACUUGAAAAAUUGAAAUUCUUUUUGAGUGCAAAUUACUCCUGUCUUUACAUGCUAUAAACUCUUAAUUGUGUCACGGCUUUGUUUCCCAAACUUGUUAUUCUUUAUGGACUUUUCAUUCUUAAUCUCCAAUUAAUUCCCUAUUCAAUAAAACAAUUCAAUUAAUUAAAAAUAACAAAUAAAAAUAACUAGCAAUUAUAUAAUUAAGGGUAAAAUAUGUAUAUAAAUUAUGCUCAUCAGCUAUAUACUCUUCGUAUUUAACGUCCUCUAAUGGUGGCAUCUCAUUUUCUUCCGUUUCAUCUUCAGUUACAAUCUUACCAUUGUCUCACAACAUCAUAACUCUCUUAUUCACACAUUCACUUGCGAUAUGCUUGUUGUCUUGAUAUUUAAAACAGUUAAUGUCACAAUUCCUAAUAGUAAGAGGCACGGUGUUACCUUGUGAAUUGUGCUUGGAGGGCUCAGAUCUUAGCUUAGGUGCAAUAGAUGCUUGUAGCCUCUCAUCUCGUUUCACACAUAGCUCGACUUCCAAUGAGUGGAACUCAAGCUUGGGGCUGCACGGGUGUUACCCCUCCUGUUGAGUUGCUGCUCAAUCUUGAUGGCUUUGUGUACCAUCUCAUAAAUCUUCACAUAAUGUUGAAACUCAACCUUAUCUGCUCUAUCAUCCUCCACAUUUGCUCUAAUCAUGACAAUCUCCAUUUCAUUAUAAUAAUCCUUCAUGCUUCGGCUACCAUGUGUAAGAUUUGUAAUUUUUUGUACAAGUCUCAAUAAUAGAGGUUAGGUACAAAAUGUCUUCUCAUCAAUGAUUUCAUUUCAUCCCAUAUCUCAACUGGACAUUCUCUAUUUCGCCUCUUACUUAUAACAAGUUUAUCCCACUAAGUAAUAACAUAGUCAGAAAACUCAAUCACAACCAAUUUUACCUUUUUUGCCUCUGAAUAAUUGUGGCAAUCAAAUAUGAACUCUUUUUUCUUCUUCCAUUCAAGGUAUGCUUCUGGGUCGGAUUUUCUUUGAAAAGAUGUGAUCUUCAUCAUUAUGCCACUCAAUCCAUUAUCUCUAUUCCUAACUCUCCUACCUCGUCCAUUUCUCCUAUAGCUACCCACUAGGUCAUUCCCUUCAUCAUACCCAUCCCUAUAAUAGUCAUCAAUCUCUCUUCUAGCUGGAGAUCUUUCUCUUCUACGUGCUUGGGGAACAUGUUGUGGCUGCCCUGCACGUGUGUUCUCUACUUGAUCCAAACGCUCGUGUAUGAGCUCUAAUUCAGCUCUCAUCAUCCUUCUUAUCAAAUUAUAGGAACCUCGUGUGUUCUCCACUUGGUUGCCCUGCACGUGUGUUCUCCACUUGGUUGCGAUGCACGUAUGUUCUCCACUUGGUGCUUAGGCUUUGAUACCAAAUGAUAGGAACCCCGUCAAGAACUAACGCGCCCCUAAUCAAUUUAGUCCCCAAGAUCGAAUCUAAACCAAGAAUUGAAUGGAACCUCGACCCAAUGCUUAAUGAAAGCACGAACCUUGGUAUGUGAAGAUGCCACAAUCAACUAUGGAUGGUCUGAUUGAUAAGUCAAGAGUUUAAACGCCAUGGAAAUCUGAUAAGUUCAAAAAGUUUGUAAAGAAUCAAAGAGAAUUAACUCUCUCACCAAUUGCAUCAAAACUUAUCUUUAUUUAUUGGAUACAAGUACAUUAUACAGGGUUGGUUACAAGAAUUUUUGAAAAUAAAUCCUUUACCAAAAAUCAAAUCUGAAUCGGAAUCUAAACAAAUAGGAAAAAAUCUAAAUCAAAUCAGAUUCCUAAUCUAAGCAAAUAGGAAAGAAUCUAAAUCAAAUCAUAAUCAUAAUCUAAGUAAAUAGGAAAGAAUCUAAAUCAAAUCAAGAUCCUAAUUGGCUUAAAUGUCUUACAUCAAUUAAAAUAGAAACUAGAUGAUUAACAUAGAUAUAACUGAUUUGUUUCCCUAAUAGCCUCCUCAAGAAACGGGAAAGUAUCUGAAAAAAAGGAAAAUAAUAUAUUUUUCCGCCAUAAUGUGCAAGCCAACUCCCUAUUUCAUGGAAGUGUUUAUUUGGAAACUUUAAGAGCUUGAAUCAUGCAUUUAUCAUGUGCGAUUCCUUCAACAGGCCUCCACGAAUUUGAUUGAGCCCAAGUUACUUGAAUCAAUCUAUUAAGUGCUUCUUUGAAUUUCUUUGCUUGAGCUCUUGUAACGGGUCCGCCGGAACUUGAGUAGGAUCUGAAUAUGCCUCAUCUCAUGUGCUUAUGAUAGUUUUAUCCUUAAUCUCAUCAAUUUUACUCCCUCAAACUGCUAUGGGCAUGAUAGCCAGAUCAUAAACAUGGCAUGGGGAACAAGUGUAGACAAUCUCAUAAAAGGUCUUACCACCAUGUUAUUGCAAGCAAACUUGACUUGAGGCAAGAUAGCUUCCCAAUUCUAUUGCUUGUCACCAUAAACAUAACACAACAUAUUGACCAGAGUGCGAUUGACCACCUCUAUUUGACCAUUUGUUUGCAAAUGAAAAGCACUACUAAACUGUACUGAAUUUAUCCUAUAGAUGAUGCCAAAACUUGCUGAUAAACUUCACAUCCAUGUCAGAAGUAAUAGUCUUUAGCAUACCAUGCAAACUUACCACUUCUUCAGAGAACAAAUGUGCAACUAAAGCAGCAUCUUCAGUAUUCUUACAAGCAAUAAAAUGCACAAUCUUUGAAAACAUAUUGAUCACAGCCUAUCAAUAUGUUCCCUUAAAAACUUUGAGGCAUAUAUAACUAAUUAGAUUUGAACAGAUACCCAUCUUGAAUAAGGAAUUCUUUUACAUUUUGAUGAUUAAUACACCAAUCUUAAAUAUGCGCAAAGUUUUCCUCCUUAGCAUACAACUCCCUCAAGCAUUCAAAACCAGUAACUUCAAUGACGAGAACAGUAAAGUAGCUUGCCUACUAAGUGCAUCUGCUAUCUUAUUCUAUUGCCCAAAUUUAUACUUCACAAUAAAAGUGAACUUUUACGUAUAGCUCACCCAUCUUGCAUGCAUCUUGCUCAUAUGUUGUUGGUGUUAAAGUACUUGAUUGCUUGAUGGUCACUAUAAGGUACGAACUCUUUGCAAAUCAAGUAAUGUUCUUAUGACUUCAACACUCUGAGGAUUGCAUAAAAUUCUUAGUCGUAAGUAGACCAUUUAUGUCAUGUUUUAUUUAACUUCUCACUUAUAUACAUAAGUGGUCGUCUCUCUUGAGAAAGAACAGCCCCAAUACCAUUACCAUAAGCAUCACAUUCAACCUCAAACAACUUGAUGAAGUUUGGUAAGGCUAACAUAGGAGUAGUAAAAAAAUUCUCUUUUAAUAAAGGAAAACUCGCACUUCGCAAUAAGUGGGGCUAUGGUACUAAAACUACAAAUAAAUAUCUUAUAAAACAUCGUCAACCAAUGAAAACUCCUAACUUCACCUACUGUCUUCGGCAUAGGCCAUUCUUUAAUGGCUUGUAUCCUCGACUCAAUAGCUCCAAUCAUAUCUACAUCAGUUAUAAAACCAAAAAUUCCACAUUACUUUACAGAAAGCUACAUCUUUAGAUUAAUGAAAAGUUUAUUUUUUUGCAACAUCUUUAUAAUCAUUCUCAAAUGUUCUAGGUGUGCCACCACAUCAACAGAAUAAACUAAGAUACUGUCAAAAUUCACUACAAUAAAUUUACAGGAAAAAGGCUUAAAACUUGAUUCAUUUAGUGCAUAAAAGUGCUUGACACAUUAGACAAUUAGAAUGGCAUAAAAAACCACUCAUACAACCCUUCGUUUAUUUUAAAUAUUGUCUUCCACUCACCAUCAGGCCUAAUUUUGAUAUUGUGAUAUCCAUUAUGCAAAUAUAUCUUUGAGAAAACUCGAGCAUCAUUUAGUUGGUCUAAUAACUCUUGAAACGUAGAAUAGGAAAUCGAUACUUCACUAUAAUAUGGUUAAUUAGCCUACUGUCUGUACAUAUAUGCCAACUCUCAUCCUUUUUUGGUACCAACAAAGUUAGUAUAGUACAUGAACUCAUGCUCUCAUGAAUGAAACCUUUCCCUAACAAUUCAUCAACCUGCCCUUGUAAGAUCACAUGCUUGUGAGGGCUCAUACGAUAAUGGGGCAAGUUAGGUAAACUUGCACCAUAUCUCAUAAAGGUGGCAGCCCGUCUAACAACUUUAGUGAUCUAAUAUCAACAAACUCAAUUAAUAAUGGCCGUACUUUUUUCAAAAACAAUCUUCACCUUUAAUUCUUCUUUUUUCUCUAGCUUCUAGCAAUCAUCGCAAUCAUCUUCUUGAUGAUUUUUAACAACCUUAGUAUUCCUCUUUUUGUUCGUUAAAGGCAUCAACGAACCUUUUUGUUAUUCCACCAAAACUCAUACAUAUUAUCCUCUCUUCUAUACUGUAUCAACAUCAAAUUGCUAAAGUUUACUAAAUAAUAGAUGGCACGCAUCCAUAUUCUUUACAUCGCACAACACAUCACUCUUAUAAAUCUUCCCAAUGGAGAAAAGAACACAACAUACCUUUAUUACUUGCAUUUCUGUCUUUUUAUUUAUCAAUCGUAUUCUGUCAGAUACUGGAUUUUUUUGGUUAAAAGUCCUAUCAUGUCAAAUAGCACCUUUGAAAAUAUGUUCUCGCUACUGCCACUAUUAAUUAUAAUGUUGCACACCUUGUCAUUGAUAAUGCCAUAUGUUUUAAAAAUCUUAUUGCGCUGAUUAUCCUCUUUAAAUUUCAAUGCUAAUAAACUCUUUUAUAUAAUACAAUUUAGUCUCUCCUUCAUUUGCUUCAAACUCUAAAGCUUCUUCGUCAUCCCCAUUCUCAAUGUCGUUCAACUUUGUCUUGCUGACUUUAGCCUCUACUAAAUUCAAAUUUUUAAGAUGAUAGUCACUUGAUCGAUGGCCUGGCUCCCUACACUUCAAACACUUGUUCAGCAUAGGCUUCACUAUAAGUGAUUGUAUCUACUAUCUCAUCUUAUAUCUCUUGUUUUAAUCUACCAAUAUAUUUCGUAACUAUUCAAAAUUAUGGCUCAUCCAUAUUAUUUUUAGUGUGUAGACGAUAAAAUUCCUUUAUGUAUUCAUCGGCAUUGUGAUUUCCUUACCUUCAGUUUUGAUAUUUAAAAUAUAGUUGCUACCAGUAAUCUACUGGCAGGAAAUACUCUCUCAUCAUCCUCUGCAUUCUAGGCCACAAUUUCAUAAUUUUUUUUGCAACUUUUCUUUAGUUUUGUAUGUAUUGCCAUCAUGCAGAAGCUACGAAAGCUUAACUCACUUCUCUUGAGGAAUCUCUAUAUACUCGAAAAAAUUAUCCACUUGUGAUAUCCAGUCUAAAAAUUUUUCAACAUGCCUCCCACAAAAAAAAAUCCAGAAUAUUAACAUUAAUCUUGUAAUCUGAACUCUUUUUGCGCCCCUAUCAUCCUCUACAUAUUCUUCUUCUUCUUAAUCGUUUCUUAGCUCCUUACGCACACGUAUUGGUUUUCAUCACGCAGGGCCUAAAUUUUGAGGUACUACUUCACCAUUGAUGCCUUGAGGUUUUAUUUCAUGACCAAUCGCUUGAGGUAUCUCCAUGUAGUUGUAAUCUUCAGGUUGUACACCACGAUUGACUCUUUGAAGUACUUCCUUGUGAUUAAAUUUUUGUUGUUGACCUCUUUUUCUGUUUUUGUUCAAGCAAAACUUAAGACUCAUGAUUGUCUCGCUCUAUCGCCACCAAUCUCGAGUUAUAAGCUUCCUCAAUUGCUUUCAAGGUUGCUUCUCUAGCCGCCCGUCUGACAGCCUCCACAGUCCUUGCCUGCAUCCCUUUAUUAACAUGUAUUUGUCUAUAAUGAUGAUUUUGAUGAUAACAAAUAAGAUUAAGAAUGAUUAAAUUUUUAAAAACUCAAAUUAUUUUUCAUACAUUUUAAAUAAAUCAUUAUUUUCAUAUAAUAAAGGUUUUAUAUUCAAAGGUAAAGUGAUUUCAUGAAAUUGGUUGUUUUUCAAGUUCAUGGUCUAAUUGAAAAAAAUUUGAGAACUUUAAAAUCAACAAGUAUUGCUCAAAAUUCUAGAAAUGGACUUGUUUGAAAAGUAUCAUAAAGUUAUGGGCCAUAGUAUAAGUACAAAAAGUUUUGGGGCAAAAAUAUAAUUUUAGAAAAUAGUUUCAUUGUAGUAGUCACUGUAGCAAACAGCUAACCGACAAAAAAAAAAAAAAUUCAAGAUUAGCCUCUGGACACUAACGGCAAACCGACUUCUUGAAAAUGGUAAACCGACAUCUUCUUUGCAAGUCACCGGACGAUAACGGCGAUCCGAAAUUUCAAUAACGGUGAUCCGACAAUUUGAAAUUCUUUCCAAUGGUAACUUGCUCAAGUUAAAACGGAAAUUCGACUUCUAUAUAACGCCGAUCCGACUUGGAGCAAAUUAUCUGUAACGGCUAUUUUUCAGCUCAAACUAUAAAAAGGCUCACUUAAACACAAACAAUGGAGAUUCCAACUACUAUCAUUGAGCAAACUAUUGAGCAUACAACUUUCAUUGAGCUUUAAAUUCUUGUAUUCAUCUCAAUUAUUCACAUACUAGGAUUUCAUUUGUAAUCAAACACAUUGUGUGAGAGAGAUUUAUUUGUAAUCCUUUUUGUAAAAUCAAGUUGAGAGGUUGUAAGUGUUGGGAUACACUUGGGUUAAGAGAUUAUGGAUAAUCUCUUAUUGUAAAGGUCUAUUUAAAGGAAAACAUUUGUCCAUGCGGUUCCUAAAAUCGCAACUUUUGUGCAGUAAAAAUAAAACGGACGGCGGAAGCUCUAGAAACCUCGGAUCGGCUUCAUUCAAAAAAGAAAAUCAAGAGGAAAGAUUGAAGUUUAAUUACCUCACUUGCACUUUCAAAAACGACUUCGUGAGGUAGGAGAAAACGACUGAAAACAGCAAGCAACGAACACUGUCCAGAAAAUACAGCUCAGCACGAACAGCUUCUGUUUUGCCACAAUCUAAGAUCCUUAAAGCACCCCAAUUGUGAUGCCUCUAAUUAGUCCACACUUAGAAAUGUUCUAGGAGUUCAGAGCAUUUGGAAUCUCGAAAUUUCGUUUAGAAAUGAGAGAGAUAAUGAAGAAACAUGAAUGCUAGUUCAUGAUGAUUCAUCCCACCAAAUAAAGCUACCAUUAUCUCUAAUAAUGGCACCAAACAUUAUCAUGUGCUAGACCCACCCACUUAGCUAUUAUUUAUUAAAAGUGAUCUUAUCACUUAAAUAAAUUAUUUAAUCAAAUAAAUAAAUAGCUAAAUUAAUUAAUUUCGCAAUUAAUUAAUUAACCCCAUUUUGAUCAAAUCAAAUGGUUAAAUGUGGGCUCAUUUUGUGACAUGUUCUAAUGCUUUCUCUUAAUCCAUAUUAGAUCCAAUAAAAGCCCAAAAUUCUAAACCCAAAAUUGGUCUAGAAGUUCAUAAUCAUAUAUGAACCCGAACAUGUACAAAAUGGUCAUUUUACGUGCUCGAUAUUACAUAAUGUUUAAUGGAGGAUUUACGAAAUUUAUUUUGUUCCUUAAACUAUUUAUGGAACAUCUAAAUUUCUAUCUUAAAUCAUAUUUAAGAUAUAUUUAUAUAUAUAUUCAUUCUCAGUGAAUUAUAAUAUAAAUAUUGAUUUUCCUAAAAUUAGGAAAUUUAACUUCUCAUUUUCUAGUAACUCCUUUUUCAUUUCUAUUUAGUGUGUGACCUUUUAGGUUCUUAGUUAUAAGGUAGUAGAACUAUUUUAAUGAUAACUCUUUAUUCAUUAAAUGAUGCUAAACUCUUUAGUCAUCAAUUAGAACUUUUCUAAUGACCUUAAGAUGCAUUGCUAAUACGCUUUACCAAUAUUGAUCUUAAGGUUUCUACAAGUCAUGAGUGACACCUAGCAGUAUAUCACAACUAUCCAAAUAACAAGAAUUGUUGGAUCUAUAGAACCUAUUCCAUUGUAUCUCUAUGUCUUGGUCUCUUCAUCAUCCAUGUCCAGAGAAAAGCACGGCUUAUGGUUUAUUAUGUUAAGCACUUAUGCUUUAUCUCAAAAUAAAUCUAAAUGAACUUGACAUGAAAAUAUAAUUUGAACUCCUUCAAAUAUAUUUCACCUUGGCCAAGGAUUUCUCAUGCCAAUUCAUAUCAUCUCAUAGGGACAUCCUUUUUGUAUAUUACAAAGUGAUGAAUUCCAUAUUGGCCAUACACUUGUCUUCAUACAUAGCCAACCAUGACAGCUAUUGCUAGAUCUCUUCCGUGAUUAGGAAUCAAUCAUUAUGCUUUCACAUAUCAGAGAUGUCUAUGUAUAAGACAUAUGUUAUGCCUCAGGUCUAAAGACCAUUACUAAACAUAGUGUCUAAUACAAUGUAUAAUAAGCCAUUAACACUCAAAACCAUAUGGCUUACUAUAUUUGGUCAAGUUCAGUAAACUCGUUCUCUCAACAAGUACCUAUGUGUUUGACUUGACAUCUCAUGUCAAUGAUAUGAAACUCACCAUCCAUUUUAGUAUCACAUUCCAUAAGGAGUCAUAACACAUACUAGUGUUUAUAGGAAUUUAUAAUGUCCAAUCAUAAAUCCACCACUAGGAACUAUUUUAGAAGUAUAGUACAAAGGAUGCACGUUUCAUAUUCUCGACGAACUCGAGAAUGUGUUCCUUAACUAUUUUACUUCUUGGACUAUAUUCAUUCAAUUAAUUUAUGAAUAUUGAUAACUAUGCCAUUUUAUAAAUAUCAAAAUGCUAUUCAAAUACAAUAAUUCCCUAAGCAAACAAACACCAUUUGAUUGGCCUUUAAGGCAUAUUACUAACAAUCUCCCACUUGCAAUAAAGCCAAUCGAGUUGUUGAAGCCUUGGAGGCUUACUUAGUAAAAUCUUCAAGCCUGAUAAGCUUGAAGGCGUGGACGUAAGCACGGUUGGCGAAACCACAUAAAAAUCAUGUGUUUGCUCUCUCUUACCCUAUCUCCUUAUUUUUUAUUUCACAUUAAUUUUUUUUAUUUCAAAUUUGAUUGCCUUGUUUAAAUUGCAUUUAGUUUUUUAGUUGCUUAAAUUUUUUAGAAACUCAAUUCACCCUCCCUUUUGGGUUGCCUAAUUAGUAUUUCAUCAUUGAUCGUCGUCUUCGGGACAAUUGCUCCUAUGAUCGUGUGGUCGUACCAUAAUGAUAAGCGAACUUGCUUUGAUACUAAUUAACGAUGCGAAAAUGUUUAAAUUUGCUGGAUAGAAGAAACAAAAGUUUCUAAAUAAUGAAGUUUAUUAAAAUGUCUGAAAUUAAUAAAACUAUAGUUUUGGGCCCCUUUAUAUAAUAAUCAUAAAUAUUUUGAAUUUAACAAAAUAGGUAAAUCUAAAAAAUUAUUUUAUAAUAAAAUUCUCAUAAUUUGAAUUAAAAAAUCUAAAACAAAUGGUGCCCAAAUCUAAGAUCUUAAAAAAAGAUAAAAAUCAUAAUAGGAAUAGAAAAUAUGAGAAAAUAUCUUAAAACAAAAAAAACGACAAGGAAAGAAAUGGAUUUUUACGCUCAAACACUGCCCAAAACUAUGCAACAAUUCUAGUUUUCAUUCGUCUCGUCACAAGCUUCAAAACAGUAUAUAAUAGGCCUAAAAUAGACACACAUAACCUAAGUUAUACCUUUCGAAAAGUAUCUCAUUCGUCCUGCGCAUCCAUCCUACAUCAUAACAGCUUGAAGACUUAGGAGGGCCAGCUUAAUUCAAAGUCAAGACUAGCUUAUUACCUUGCAGGAUUUUUAAUUGUUAGGGAAACAAUUGUUGAAAGAUGCUGGGUAUAAAGUUUAUAAAACUUUAAUUAUUUCAUAAAAUUGUUUUAUUUUUUAUUCAUCAUCACAUUUGGAUUAUCCCCAAUGGCCAAUUUUAUUUUCAUUUUUGUAUAGGUCAAAUAAAUGUUACUAGAAAUUGAUUAUUACCAUUUUUUUCUCAUUUAUUGAGGACUAUGAAGAAUUAGACGAAACUCAUAAAUGACCUAAAAUAUAUAAUGAAUAUUUAGAUAUUUUUUCAUAUCCAUACGAUAUCUUGGAGUACGACAUAGUCUCCAAAAAUAGCCAAACAUUUCACAUCUAUCACAAGUGCUUUCUUGAAUAUUAUGUUGUGGCAGGUGUUUCGUCCUCAUUUUUUUCUUUUGCUAUGGUUCUUAUAACCACCACGAGGUCGACAAUAAUUUUUUUCAGGACCUCAAUCUUAAUAAUAGCCAUGACCACAACCAUGACUACAUCUACAGGCAUGGUUAUACCAAUUUUCAUCAUGAUCACAUAGACAACAUUUGCUCCAAGAACUUGUUUUGUACCAAUAUGAUGGGCUUAAUAAUUCACUAUUCUUUUCUACAAAAAGAAGGCAUGCAAUCAAGUACCGACAGGUAGAGGUGGGCGUUCAGGUCUGGGUGAACCAAACCGAACCAAUUUCGGGUUUUAGUUCAGUUCGGGUCGAACCUAAAACUCGAACAGAUUGAAAGAGUGAAACCGAACGGAUUUGCUAUUUGGUUCGGGUUAGCCCGAACCAAAUAGAAAAAUCGUUUGGUUUCGUAUUAAAAAAAUAAAAAAUAUAUAUAACUAUCCCAUGAAUCUCGAAAUGCCCAAAUCUCCCCCACUGCCCACAAAUCCCUAACCUCUCUUAACACUCACAACUCUCCCCAGUCCUCGCCGAGCCACACCGCGAGACCCUCGCGCACGAGAGGGAAAAAAACAUACAAAAAAGAUAAAUGAAAAAAAAAAUUAAACACUCUGCUUUGCUCGCAGGACCCUGUUCAGCUGCAAUGAAAAUCACACCUCAACGUAUACCCGUAAGUUUCUCCAACAAUUGAUUAUGUGCAUACUUAAUCCCCAAAUAAAGUCUUAUGAUCUUACCAAACUUCACUAGCUAGUUAAUAACGCCACUUACCUGCAUACAUUAAAAAAAAAGAAUCAUUAAAGUUUUUACGCAUUAAAAUGAAAAAUAGAAGUUUACUUCACAAGUUUAUAAUUUGUAUACAAAUUUCUAUCUGUAAAAUGAAAACCAAUGUCAAAAUAAUAACAUACAGUAUCAAUUGGAAUAGAACAUGCCAUUCCACAAAAUGCGCCACUUCUAGAGAUAAUAGAUGUAUUGACUCUAGUAAAACUUCAUGAACAAUCAAAAUCAUACUUGCAGGGUGGCUGAUUACAUGGGCUUCCUCACAUAAUUAUUGGUCUUAUUCGUGUUUUGGUGCAUUAAUAUGCUAGUAGUGCUACACAUUCUAAAUUUUUUAUCUCAUAAAACUACUUCAAAUGAUACAUUCAUCAGUUUGUUGGUGAGACAAAAUAGUCAAUUCACUUAAAUCUUAUAAAAAAUUAUCAAUCAUUCAAUAAACGACAGAUUAUUUUACGAUGAAAUUUGAGAUAAAAAAUUAGAGAUAUCUAUCAUUAGCCUUAAUAUGCAACAUUGCCAAAGUCUUUGUCUUGGUCAUAACUAACAAGUUAAUUUUGCAUAUAAAGUUGAUUGGUUAAAAUAGUGACUCUAUAAAAAUAAUUUGUUGUUUGAAGUAUUUUGUAGAAUAAAUAACCCCAUUAAAAAUAGAAUACAAAUUUAUGGUUUAUUACAAGUUUACAACCACAAGUUCACUUUUGGUGCUCAAGUCUAAUUACAACCAGAUGUCCACUAUAGAUAAACUAUUGAAAGAUAAAAAGAAACUUUUUAUUUAAAAUACAAUGGAAUUAUACAUAAUUAAAAUUCAUAUCAAAAUGAUUACAAUAAUCAUAUCAAUAUCAAACUUCAAUGUAUGAUCACAAUUUUAAUUAAUUAUUUUCACAGUGAAUGAUAAUGUUAGGAAAAAAAGUGCAAUACAAUAUUAUUUUUAUUAUGUUUCAGUUCAAUCAUCCUAAUUUAUAAAUAAAAUUUAUUUCUAAAGGAUACUGCAUUACUAUUACAUGUAUAAAACAUUUCUUUGACUCUGUCUCAUCAGGUUCGACUUCAAGAAUAAUGAAAAUUUCUUCCAAUUGAGUACCGCGCAAGAUCUUCACAAUCACCUGAUAUCAAAAUAAUUCAAAGAAUUUUGCAAAGACAACUAGGACAAAAUAAUUGGAAAAGAGAGUAAUGCAUCAUCGUGAGAUACCUCAUCUCCAACUUUACAUUGAUCAAGAAUUUUGUGCAAAGCGGUAGCAUUGGAGACAUCUUAUCCAUUCAUAGCCUUUAUGAUGUCGCCCAAAAUGAGUUUGCCAUCAGCUCUAAGUUUGGUUGAUCUCAAACCCUACAGAUAAAGACCAAUCAACUUUAUUGAGUGAAAGCACGAGAGGGGAAAAAACAUACAAAAAGAUAAAGGAAAAAAAUGAAACACACUGCUUUGCUCAUAGGACCCUGUUCAGCUGCAAUGAAGAUCACGCCUCUACUUAUACCCGUAAGUUUCUCCAACAAUUUAUUUUGUGCAUACUUAAUCCCCAAAUAAAGUCUUAUGAUCUUACCAAACUUCACUAGCUAGUUAAUAACGCCACUUACCUGCAUACAUUAAAAAAAAAAGAAUCAUUAAAGUUUUUACGCAUUAAAAUGAAAAAUAGAAGUUUACUUCACAAGUUUAUAAUUUGUAUACAAAUUUUUAUCUGUAAAAUGAAAACCAAUGUCAAAAUAAUAACAUACAGUAUCAAUUGGAAUAGAACAUGCCAUUCCACAUAAUGCACCACUUUUAGAGAUAAUAAAGGUAUUUACCCCAGUCAAACUUCAUGAACAAUCAAAAUCAUACUUGCAGGGUGGCUAAUUACAUGGACUUUCUCACAUAAUUAUUGGUCUUAUUCGUGUUUUGGUGCAUUAAUAUGCUAGUAGUGCUACACAUUCUAAAUUUUUUAUCUCAAAAAAUUACUUUAAAUGAUAUAACAUUCAUUAGUUUGUUGGUGAGACAAAAUAGUCAAUUCACUUAAAUCUUAUAAAAAAUUAUCAAUCAUUCAAUAAACGACAAAUUAUUUUACGAUGAAAUUUGAGAUAAAAAAUUAGAGAUAUCUAUCAUUAGCCUUAAUAUGCAACAUUGCCAAAGUCUUUGUCUUGGUCAUAACUAAUAAGUUAAUUUUGCAUAUAAAGUUGAUUGGUCAAAAUAGUGACUCUAUAAAAAUAAUUUGUUGUUUGAAGUAUUUUGUAGAAUAAAUAAAAAAAUUUAUUGUUUGAAGUAUUUUGUAGAAUAAAUAGCCCCAUUAAAAAAAGAAUACAAAUUUGUGGUUUAUUACAAGUUUACAACCACAAGUUCACUUUUGGUGCUCAAGUCUAAUUACAACCAGAUGUCCACUAUAGAUAAACUAUUGAAAAAUGAAAAGAAACUUUUUAUUUAAAAUACAAUGGAACUAUACAUAAUUAAAAUUCAUAUCAAAAUUAUUACAAUAAUCAUAUCAAUACCAAACUUCAAUAUAUGAUCACAAUUUUGAUUAAUUAUUUUCACAGUGAAUGACAAUGUUAUGAAAAAAAGUGCAAUACAAUAUUAUUUUUAUUAUGUUUCAAUUCAACCAUCCUAAUUUAUAAGUGAAAUUUAUUUCUAAAGGAUAUUGCAGUACUAUUACUUGUAUAAAACAUUUCUUUGACUCUGCCUUAUCAGGUUUGACUUCAAGAAUAAUGGGAAUUUCUUCCAAUUGAGUAGCACGCAAUAUCUUUACAAUCACCUGAUAUCAAAACAAUUAAAAGAAUUUUGCAAAGACAACUAGGGCAAAAUAAUUGGAGAAAGAUAGUAAUGCAUUAUCGCGAGAUACCUCAUCUCCAACUUUACAUUGACCAAGAAUUUUGGGCAAACCGUUGGCAUUGGAGACAUCUUAUCUAUUCAUAGCCUUUAUGAUGUCGCUCAAAAUGAAAAUGAGUUUGUCAUCAGCUCCAAGUUUGGUUGAUCUCAGACCCUACAGAUAAAAAUCGAUCAACUUUACUGAGUGAAAGCACGAGAGGGAAAAAAACAUACAAAAAGAUAAAGGAAAAAAAAAAUAAACACACUGCUUUGCACGCAAGACCCUGUGUCAACUGCAAUGAAGAUCAGGCCUCUAUUUGUACCCGUAAGUUUCUCCAACAAUUGAUUAUGUCCAUACUUAAUCCCCAAAUAAAGUCUUAUGAUCUUACCAAACUUCACUAGUUGGUUAAUAACGCCACUUACCUGCAUACAUUAAAAAAAAAGAAUCAUUAAAGUUUUUACGCAUUAAAAUGAAAAAUAGAAGUUUACUUCACAAGUUUAUAAUUUGUAUACAAAUUUCUAUGUGUAAAAUGAAAACCUCUAUGUGUGUUCAGACGAGCCCCAAAGGCCUCUCAUCUCAUAUCAUCUGUAUCACUGUAUCUGGAGGGGAAGGGUAUUGUCCAAUGAUUUUGCAAAUAACCUUUUAUACACAUGUACAUAAACAUAUAAUCACAUAUGAAAUUUCAUUUCCUUUUUAUUUAACAUAUCUCAAUUCCACUCAAUUUUAUUAUCAUGCAUUUACUCAAAAAUGCUAAUAAAAUCAUUAAUCAAACUCAUUUUUAAUAAUAAUAAAUAUCAGCACGUAGAUAAAAAUCUAUUUUCUAGGAAAUUAUCAAAUUGAAGCAUCAAAUACUUAUUAUCAAAACAUGUUGUAUUGCAUCGUAAAAUCAAAAUAUACUAUGAAAAUAGGUUUUGGAUAUUCCACUCACAGUGGCNNNNNNNNNNNNNNNNNNNNNNNNNNNNNNNNNNNNNNNNNNNNNNNNNNNNNNNNNNNNNNNNNNNNNNNNNNNNNNNNNNNNNNNNNNNNNNNNNNNNNNNNNNNNNNNNNNNNNNNNNNNNNNNNNNNNNNNNNNNNNNNNNNNNNNNNNCAAAAAAUUACCAAAAUGCCCUUAACAUCGAAAUUUACCGAAUUUCUGUCGGAACCAUAAUUUAUCGAAUUAUCCUCAAAAUCCUAAAUUACCUAAUUGCUCUUAAUUCAAAUCACAAAAUUAACCACAAGUUUUGCAUACACGGAAUUACCCUUAGAAUGCGAAACUACUAAAAUGCCCUCAACAACAUAAAUUAGGGAAUUACGCCUGAAAUCUUAAAUUACCUCACUGUCCUAGUCUGGAAUUACCAAAUCAUCCACUAAUUUCAGAAAUUACGAAUUAAUUCCCAGAGUUUGCAAAAUUAUCGAAUUGCCCAUGCCGGUCAACGGUGACCGGAGUUUAGUCAACGGUGACGGGAAGUUUACUACCAAUUAAGCUAAUGCGGGAUCCGUGUUGAAAUAAAAAUCCGACUACAUAGCCAUUGAAUCGUGUUCGAAUUGUCUCAAUUUUAUGUCGUGACAAAUUUAAAAUAAUCCAAACACGAUUUAUUUAAUAAACGUAUAACAUUUAACAGUCACCACUCAUAAUGUCGGAUAAUCGUGUUGUAUCAACUUCACCGUAAUAAUUCAGAACAAGUCCAACAAAUUUAAAAUUAAUGUCGAAGGGAAAAAAUUAAAUAAUACACUUAAUUAGGAAAAUUAAAGUGCAUAUUUUAAAAUCCUCCCCACUUAUUAAAAUUUUGUCCCUCGAAAUUUACACAUGAUGAGAACAGAUGAGGGUGUUGGGCUUGCAUUAAGUCUUCACGUUCCCAAGUAUCCUCUUCCCUUGUGUGAUUCCUCCACAACACUUUUACUAAAGGAAUGGCUUUAGAUCGCAACACUUAGUGUUUUCUGUUCAAGUAUGUCCACAGGCUCCUUUUAGUACGUCAAGUCUUCCUUCAAUUUAAUUAGUUGUCUCGAUAACACAUGACUGGGAUCAUCUAUGUACUUUCGAAGCAUCGAGACAUGAAACACAUUGUGGAUUCUGGAUAACUCAGUUGGUAGAGCUAAUCGGUACGCCAACGGACCAAUACACUCCACAAUCUCAUAUGGUCCAAUGUAACGUGGGCUUAGCUUUCCGCACUUCCUAAAUCGAAGUACCCAUUUCCAAGGAGGUAUCCGUAUGAAAACCUUAUCACCCACUUCGAAUUCAAGUUCCCUCCUACGCUUAUCUGUAUAGCUCUUUUGUCUGUUUUGGGCUACCUUUAAUCUAUCCCAAAUAAGUUGUAUAUUCUCAUUAGUAUUCUAAACCUAUUCGGGACCAAAAAGCUUCCGCUCGCCAACCUCAUCCCAACAUACCGAAGUUCUACAUUUCCUGCUAUACAAAGCCUCAUAAGGUGCCAUCUCGAUGCUAGCUUGAUAAUUGUUAUUAUAAGAAAACUCUAUCAAAGGUAAAUAAAUGUUCUAACUACCCUAAAACUCCAAAACACAAGUUCACAACAUACCUUCCUAUGUCUGAAUAGUACGCUCUAAUUGUCCAUCAGUCUAAGGAUGAAAACCUAUACUAAAAUUCAACUUUGUGCUUAAAGCCUUCUGCAACCUAGUCCAAAACUUAAAAGUGAACUGGGAAUCUCUAUCUGAAACAAUAUACACAGGUGCUCCGUGAAGUCGAACAAUCUCAGCCGCAUAAAUACUCUCCAACUUAUCCAUCGAAUAAGUGGUCUUGAAAGGUAAAAAGUGAGCAGAUUUCGUGAGCCGGUCAACAACCACCCAAACAUUAUCAUGUCCACUAUGGGUAUAUGGAAGUCCCGCCAUAAAAUCUAUGGUGAUAUGCUCCCACUUCCACUCAAAAAUAGGAAGCGGCUGAGAACAUCCUGCAGGCCUUUGAUGUUCAGUCUUAAUUUGUUGACAACUAAACAUCUAGAUACAAAUUCUGCUAUAUCUCUCUUCAUACCUUACCACCAAUAAUGAUCCUUUAAGGUACAAUAUAUCUUCGUACUACCAGGAUGCAUUGCAUAAGCUGAACAAGGAUCCUCUUCCAUGAUCUCCUUUUUUCAACUCCUUAAUAUCGGGUACACAAAGUCGAUUACCCAUCACUAAAACUCCAUCAUCUCUCACCGCAAAAUCGGUUCGCAGGCCUUUUUGCACAUCCUCUCUCAACUUCAUUAGCUGUGGAUCCUGAUCUUGUAUCUGAUGGACUUUGUCAAUCAAAGUCGGCCUAACUAAAAAAUUAGCUAUUAGAGCUCUGCAAUUAUUAGCUUUUGAUGUGCUAAUAAUUUUCAUAUUAUUUUAAUUCUUCCAUAACUUAAUUUUAUGUUAAAUUAUAUUUUAUUACAUUAAUUUUAUCUUAAUUUUUAUAUUUUGUCAUUGUAGGAAUAUUGGGAAUAUUCAUGAGAACGGAAGCUUAAAUAGGAAACAAAUUGGAGCUUAAUGGAAAUAAUUACAGAUUGUGAGUGAAAAGAGGAAAGAAUAAUGCUUAAAAAAUAAUUAUUAGAUUUAUUACCAAAUAACUUUAGAAAUUUAUUGGCUAUUUGUACAAGUCACGUGGAUGAUUACAUAAAGCAUUGGCAUUUGUCAAGUGGGCUCACGUGCAUGGGCUUAAAAGGUUGGCUAGGUUUGUUUUGUUUUAAAAUCCUUUUGAUUUAAGGAUUUGUGGGUUGAGCAAUAAUAUAAAAAGGAGGAGAAACAAAAGCAAAAGGGUAGUCGCACAAAUUGAGAAGACAAAAAGAGAGCAGCCGUGAAAAUUGGAGAGAAAAACCGGGAGAGAAGGAAGAAAAAGAACGAAGCAGCCAUAAGACAUUUAGAGGGAGGAGGGAAUUAAUUCUUGAGUUUUUCUUUUCCUCUUCCCAAUUGUCCUACUUGAAUGUUUCCAAUUAAAUUCAUGGAUUCUUUUUAUAUUCCCAUGAACUAAUUUAUUUUGCUAGGGCUACGACAUAACCUAACUAUGAAGAUUUAAUUCCAUAAAUCUAUGUUAUUUUCAGUUUAUUAUUUCAUGGGUGAUUGUUCAUUAUUGUGUUUAAUACUUUUAAAUAUCUGGCUAAUAUUUAAAUGAUUUGAGGAUACAUAAUAAGACCUAGAGGAGAUUUAUGUAUUUUUGCUCUGUGUAAUGUAUGCCAUGAAUUGAACGAAAGACAGAGAUGUGCCAACGUGAUUCAUGCAGUUUUUCUAAGAGUUUCCAUGGAGCUUAAUGAAUCUUUGCAUAUUUAAAUUCACAUAGAGAUAUAGUGGGUUAAUAUGUGAAGGUAUUUUUGAUAUUACUCGAGAGAGGAUAUUGAAUAGACUAGGGAAAUUCAUUGUAACCAUGGAUAAUAAAUUUUAAUAGCAUAGAUGGAGGAUUAAAUUGGAUUAGUUAUGGUGAAAUCGGAUGUCCUAACGUCUUAAUCUCUUGGUGAUUUCUAUUACUACCUGCAUCUUUUUUCAAUUUUUAGUUAUUUUCUUUUAUUUUAAUUUUUAAUCUAAAUUCGCUUAUUCGAUUGUUCAAAUAAUUUAGGGUUAAAAUAAAUUUGGUAGCUAAUAGGAUAUACGAUCUCUGUGGGACGAUACUAUACUCUUCAUUAUAUUAUUUGUGCCGACUAGUGCACUUGCUAAUUUACGCAUCAAGUUUUUAGCACCGUUGCCGGGGAUUGUUUGGAUUAGUAUCGAUACCAACUAACCUUAGUUUAAUUUGAAUUUGAAUUUUAUUAUUUUUUAAUUUAAUUUAAUUUUUUUAUUUAAUUUUAUGAGACGUUUAAAAAGCUUUGAUUUACUGCCUUUUGAUCCAGAGAUUGAACGUACGUGUAGAAGGCUUAAUAGAGAAAGGAGAGAAGAUUUACAGGAGCUACAACUAAUCAUGACUGAGAAGCAUAAUUAAUGGUGCUCGUUCAGGCCAAUAAUUUUGAAAUUAAGCUAGCUAUAAUCUAGAUGAUUCAGACGUCAGUACAAUUUGCUGGGAUGCGGAAUGAUGAUCCAAAUGUUCAUAUUGCAAAUUUCUUGGAAAUUUGUGACACAUUUAAGCAAAAUGGUGUUUUAGAUAAUGCUAUCAGGCUAAGGCUUUUCCCGUUCUCACUAAGGGAUAAAGCAAAAGAGUGGUUAAACUCACUCCUUGCUGGAACAAUCACUGCAUGGGAUGGUUUAGCGCAGAAGUUUUUAGCAAAGUACUUUCCUCCAGCAAAAACAGCCAAGUUGAGAAAUGACAUCACAACCUUUGAUCAAUUCGAGAUGGAAUCAUUAUAUGAAGCGUGGGAGAGAUACAAAGACCUACUAAGAAAAUGCCCACAUCAUGGUCUACUAGUUUGUCGUCAGGUACAGACAUUUUACAAUGGUUUGGGAUCCAAUACCAGAACAAUGAUUGAUGCUGCAGCAGGAGCAACGUUAAUCGGAAAAACACUAGAAGCAACUUAUGAAUUAUUGGAGGAGAUGGCCUCUAAUAAUUACCAGUGGUCUUUAGAGCGACCAAUAUCAAGGAGAGCUACAGGAGUCCAUAAUGUUGAUGUGGUCACCGCUUUAUACGCACAGAUAAUUGCAAUUUGUAACAAGUUGGACAAUCUGAAUAUUCAAACUCAACCGCAAGUGUGUGAAUUAUGUGGAGGGAAUCAUACAAGCGUUAAUUGCCAAGUUAGAAGUCCUUUUGCACCAUCAUCUACUAAACAAGCUCAUUAUGUGUGAAACUUUCAGAGGCAACAAAAUAACCCAUAUUCUAAUACCUACAAUCCAAGCUGGAGAAACCAUCCAAAUCUAUCAUGGAACAACACCCAAAAUGCAUUGGCACCACCUCCAGGGUUCCAACAACAAGAAAAAAAGUCAAACUUAGAAGAUGCUCUUACCCAGCUUACAACAAAUAUGUCUCAAUUCAUGACCAAAACAGAGACAACUUUUCAUAAUCAAGCUGCAUCAAUUCGGAACCUCGAGGUACAAGUGGGUCAGAUUGCAAACUUGCUAUCCAGUAGACAACAAAGCUCUCUGCCAUGCAACACCGAGACAAAUCCAAGGGAGCAAGUUAAUGCAAUUGUACUUUGGAGUGGUAAACAACUUGAUGAGCCGCAAAAAGAAGCAAAGAAAGUUGAUAAAGGACAAGCUAAAGACACCACCAAGGUUUCAAAUGCAAUAAAUUUAGAAAUACCACAACCUAAACCAACAGCACAAGUCAAGGCCUAUGUUCCUCUAAUCUUUUUUCCUCAACGUCUCAGGAAAAAUAACAUAGAUAAGUGAUUUUUAAAAUUUCUUGAUGUGUUUAAGAAAUUGCAUAUUAACAUUCCUUUUGCAGAUGCUUUGGAACAAAUGCUGCUUUAUGCCAAAUUUAUGAAGGAAAUUUGAGGAACAUGAAAUUGUAAUGUUGACUGGGGAUUGCACUGCCAUCUUGCAAAAUAAAUUGCCACCAAAGCUGAAAGAUCCAAGGAGUUUUAAUAUUCCAUGCACUAUUGGAAAUACUUAUUUUGAAAAAGCUUUGUGUGAUUUAGGUGCAAGCAUUAAUUUGAUGCCUUUUUCUGUUUUCAAGAAAUUAGGUUUGGGUGAACUUAAGGCAACAACUGUUACCUUCCAAUUGGCAGAUAGAUCUAUAAAGUACCCAAGAGACAUAGUUGAGGACGUGCUUGUGAAAGUUGAUAAGUUUAUAUUCCCUGCAGAUUUUAUUGUCUUGGAUAUGGCUGAAGAUAUAGAGUUGCCUCUUAUUCUAGGCCGACCAUUCUUAGCUACAAGAAGAGCUUUGAUUGAUGUUCAGGAAGGGAAAUUGAUUUUAAGAGUUCAAAAUGAGCAAUCCAUUUUUAAUGUGUACGCACCUAUCAAGUAUCCAACUGAACUCAAAGAAUGUUUCCAAGAAGACACCAUGGAUAGAAAAAUGGCCAAACCUUUAAAGGAUAAGCAUCUAUUUGACCCUCCUGACAUUUAUACAAUACGUAAGCAAUCUAUUAAUGAAGAUCCAUCUCCUCAUUUUCAUGGGAAGAGAUCUAAUUGCAAGCAACUUGGGCAAGAUCCAUCCAGAUCAUCUCCUUCCAUCCACGAGCCUCCUUGAACGAUCUCUCCAAAGAUAGUCAAGCUAAUGACUAUAAAUUAAGCGCUUCUUGGGAGGCAACCCAAGCUUUCUAAACUUUAUUAUUGUCAUUUUUGUCUUUUCUUAUUUCUUCUGUCUUUUCUUUUACUUAUUUUAUUUUGUUUUGUUCUAGGUUUUUGCAUAAGUUUGGGGGUAGGAAUAUUUGCUGUCAAUUUUUUCUUUAAAAAAAGAAAACAAAUCUAAAAAAAUAAAAAAAAAAUUUUAUGCCUUUGAUGAGUAUAUUGUUGAAAAUGAAUAUGGUUCUUAGAAAUGGAUGAAUAUUUUCUUAAUUUAUACUUGAUUCUUGUGUUAGUUUCGUCUUGAUUAUGAUUCUUUAAAUAUUUUGCACACUUAUAUCGAUUUUUUCAUAAUUUUGACUUGAGAUUUGAGAUUGAUACAGCCUGAGUUGAGAAUUUUAGAUUGAGUAAAUGAUUGUUUGCCUCGAUUCUACAUUACUUAAGUACCCAGGCAUCAUAGUCAGAAAUAGCUGCCUAUAACCCUUAAGAGUGAAGCUAUUAUUGAGUAAUUUGGGCCUAUGUACCACCGGUAUGUAGAGGAUAAUCUACCAUAAGAAGAAUGUUACCUUAAGGGGUAGAGUGAAAGCUCCUGACUAUGAAAAAAAAAGCAUGUGCUUCAAGAAAAAUCAAAAGAAAAUGCAAAUUAUGCUUGUGAAAAAGAGAGAGAGAGAGAGAUCAAGAUGAUGAGGUUAGUUUGACCUACUCUGUUUACUAUUCAAUACAAGGGCUGUUGAUAUUGAAGAUUUUCAUAAUGAGUUUUGAUUGAAUUGAUUCACACACAACAUGGGAAUCCAAUAUGAGAUGAGGCUAACCAUUGAAUUAAAGUUAGAACUUUGCCAAUACUUUUAAUUUUCUUUGAGCUGUAUACUUUAUGCAAUCUUUGAGGCAUUUUUAAUGAUGUUUGUGGGUAUCAUCGCUAGAAACCCUCAUGAGACUAUAACUUGUCUACUAGGGCCACCUAGGAGUUUACAGGCUUGUUGUGUAUGCUAAAUGCAAUCGCGAUCACCUAGGAAAGUGGUUUAGUUAGGAUUUUCUUUUCAUAGUUUUUAUUUUAAUUUUUGCUCGAGGACUAGCAAAAUGUUAAGUUUGGGGGUAUUUGAUGUGUCAAUCAUUUUCAUAUUAUUUUAAUGCUUCCAUAACUUAAUUUUAUGUUAAAUUAUAUUUUAUUACAUUAAUUUUUAUCUUAAUUUUUAUAUUUUGUCAUUGUAGGAAUAUUGGGAAUAUUCAUGGAAAGGAAGCUUAAAGAGGAAACAAAUUGGAGCUUAAUGGAAAUAAUUGCAGAUUGUGAGAGAAAAGAGGAAAGAAUAAUGCUUAAAGAAUAACUAUUAGAUUUAUUACCAAAUAAUUUUAGAAAUUUAUUGGCUAUUUGUACAAGUCACGUGGAUGAUUACAUAAAGCAUUGGCAUUUGUCAAGUGGGCUCACAUCCAUGGGCUUAAAAGGUUGGCUAGGUUUGUUUUGUUUUAAAAUCCUUUUUAUUUAAGGAUUUGGGGGCUGAGCAAUAAUAUAAAAAGGAGGAGAAACAAAAGCAAGAGGGUAGCCGAACAAAUUGAGAAGACAAAAGGGGAGUAGCCACGAAAAUUGGAGAGAAAAAUCGGGAGAGAAGGAAGAAAAAGAACGAAGCAACCAUAAGAGAUUCAGGGGGAGGCGGGAAUUAAUUCUUGAGUUUUUCUUUUCCUCUUCUCAAUUGUCUUGCUUGAAUGUUCCCAAUUAAAUUAAUGGAUUCUCUUUAUACUCCCAUGAACUAAUUUAUUUUCCUAGGGCUACGACGUAGCCUAACUCUGAAGAUUUAAUUCCAUAAAUCUAUGUUAUUUUUAGCUUAUUAUUCCAUAGGUGAGUGUUCAUUAUUGUGUUUAAUGCUUUUAAAUAUCUGGCUAAUAUUUAAAUGAUUUGAGGAUACAUAAUGAGACCGAGAGGAGAUUUAUGUAUUUUUGCUCUAUGUAAUGUAUGCCAUGAAUUGAACGAAAGACAGAGAUGUGCCAACGUGAUUCAUGAAGUUUUUAUAAGAGUUUUCAUAGAGCUUAAUGAAUCUUUGCAUAUUUAAAUUCACAUAGAGAUAUAGUGGGUUAAUAUGUGAAGGUAUUUUUGAUAUUACUCGAGAAAGGAUAUUGAAUAGACUAGGGAAAUUCACUGUCAACAUGGAUAAUAAAUUUUAAUAGCAUAGAUGGAGGAUUAAAUUGGAUUAGUUAUUGUGAAAUCGGAUGUCCUAGUGUUUUAAUCUCUUGGUGAUUUCUAUUACUUUCGCAUCUUUAUUUAAUUUUUAGUUAUUUUAUUUUAUUUUAAUUUUUAGUCUAAAUUUACUUAUUCGAUUGUUCAAAUAAAUUAGGGUUAGAAUAAUUUCAGUAGCUAAUAGGAUAUACAAUCUCUGCAGGACGAUACUCUACUCUUCAUUAUAUUACUUGUGCCGACUGGUAGACUUGAUAAUUUACGCAUCAAGUUUUUGGUUAUUAGCUUUCAACUCAACUCCCAAAGAUCUCAGCUCGAUCAACAAAGGCAUAUAUGUCACUCAUAAAUGAGCUACAGAGCUGGAGGACUUCCUACUUAACGCAUCAGCUACCACAUUUGCUUUGCCCGGAUGAUAAUCAAUAGUACAAUCGUAGUCCUUAAUCAGCUCGAUCAAUCUCCUCUGUCUCAAAUUUAACUCUUUCUAAGUAAAUAAAUACUUCAAGUUCUUAUGAUCGGUGACAAUCUGACACGUUGCCCCGUAUAAAUAAUACCUUCAUGUCUUCAGUGUAAACACCACUGCUACUAGCUCUAAAUCAUGAGUUGGGUAGUUUUGCUUAUGCUUCUUAAGUUAUCUAGAAGCAUAGGCCACUACUUUCCCAUGUUGCAUUAGCACACAUCCCAAUCCUUGUCUAGAGGCAUCACUGUAUACCACAAACCCUUCAUUACUCGAUGGAAGUGUAAGAACUGGGGCUGAAGUAAGACAUGUCUUAAGUUCUUGAAACUCUUUUCACAGUCAUCAUCCCAUUGGAACUUAACAUUAUUUUUGGUUAAUCAUGUCAAAGGAAUAACAAUCUUGGAAAAUCCCUCCACAAAUCUACGAUAGUAGUCAACUACUUCAAGGAAACUUUGAAUCUCUGUGACAUUUGUAGGUCGUUCCCAAUUUACAACUGCUUCGAUCUUUUGAGGAUCGACAUAAAUCCGUUCAGCUGAUAUCAUAUGGCCCAGAAAUACUAGUUUAUCCAACCAGAACUCACACUUGUUGAACUUGGCAUAUAAUUGCUUUUGCCUUAAAGUCUGCAAAACAGUUCGCAAAUAUUCUGCAUGUUCCUCCUAGUUCCGAGAAUACACCAAAAUAUCAUUAAUGAACACAAUCAUAAACGGAUAUAGAUAAGGGUGAAAUACUCUAUUCAUAAGAUCAAUAAAAGCUGCUGGAGCAUUAGUCAAUGCAAAUGGCAUCACCAAGAACUCAUAGUGUCCAUAACAGGUUCUGAAUGUCGUUUUAAGAACAUCGACCUCUUUAAUUCUAAGCUAAUGAUAUCCCGAGCAUAAAUCAAGCUUAGAAAAUACUUUCGCUCUCUGAAGUUGAUCAAACAAGUCAUCAAUUUACGGAAGUGGAUACUUAUUGCGUAUUGUAACUUUGUUUAAUUAUCUGUAGUCAAUGCAGAGUCUAAGAGUACCAUCUUUUUUCUUAACAAACAAAACCGGAGCACCCACGGAGACACAUUAGGUCUCAUAAAUCACUUAUCCACCAAUUCUUGCAGUUGAAAUUUAAGUUCCUUUAGUUCAACUGGAGCCAUCCUGUACAGUGCUACAGAUAUAGGAACUGUUCCAGGGACUAAAUCAAUAGAAAACUCAACCUCCCUAUUAGGUGGCAUCCUUGGAAGUUCAUCUGGAAACUCUUGGACUACUGGAACAUCCUCCAAUCUCAACUCCCGAACUUCAGUGUCUAUCACAUGCGAUAUAAGCUGAGCAACCUUUCUUAGUAACCGUCUAGCACCAAUGGCUGAUACGACACAUGAGGGUAAAACUCUACACUCACCACAAAACUUCACCUCAGUUUUCCCUGGCUUUUCUAAACAUAACUUCCUUUUUGAAACAAUCCUUAGUAUCAUAAUGAGAUGCAAGUCAGUCCAUGCCCAAAAUGUUAUUGAAAUCUCGAAUGUCUAAAAUAAUCAAAUUCGCCUUAAAUUCUUGCUCACCAAAUUUAAUCAUACAAUCUUAAUACACACUCUCUGCAAGCAGUGACCCCCUGCAGGUGUAUUAACAACUAAACCAUAAUCUAGUGGUUCAUACUCUCUCUCUCAAAUGCAUGGCAAAAACAUGAGAAACAAAAGAAUGCGUGGAUCCAGGAUAAAAAAGAAUAUAAGCCUAAGUAAUUGCAACAUGUCAUUGAUAUUGAUGUUCUACUAUUUGCCACCAAUGAUAAGCUUUAUCCUUGAGUAGAAAAGUGGCAAAGGAAAGUCCAUCCUCCUUUGAGCAUCUCAUCACAUUAAAAAUACGUUCUAACUUGACAAACCACGACUCUGCCUCAGGUGCAUCUCCAGAACCAUUAAAACUCUUUGCCCCUAAAUUUUGUACACGCUCGAUAGUGUUUACAUGACCGGCAUACAGAUGAGUCUGAUUAUGUACCAUUGUAGUCACAAUCUCAGCUAGUUUAUCAAUUGACUGCUCAAGGUUGGAUACAUUUCUUGGUGUCUGUUGUGCAACCUCGUGCGUUGAAGACUCAACUACUCUCUCGUUUACAGGAUUAUUUUCCGCCGCAGGUACAUCUCCUGGAGUCAACCCAGCUACUGAUUUAGUACGGCUACGACCACCCCUAUUGCUACAACGAAUCAUGAUGGUGCUCACAAAAUAUCAAUUACGACUUUAACAACAGCAAAACUUAUUCUAAUCACAACAACAAAGUCUACAUAAUCUAAAACCGUGCUCUGAUACCAACUAAAACGACCCGCCCCGACUCCCCAGGAUGAGUCUAUCUAACUCGCCUAACCAAAUUAAUAAUAAUUCUAAUGUCUAAGAAUUCUACCAAAAUUUUGGCAGAGUCUCCUAUAUAAUUAUGACAUCCCCAAACUGCAAUUUAUAAAAUUAACACCCAAAAAUGAUACAAUAUUCAAUCAACCUCCACAACUAACUUCAUCAAUCAAAUACCAGUAUCCUUCAAACAUAUAAUGUCAAGAAUAUAAUAAUUUAUCCUUAAUCACAAAUAAGUAAUAAAUUAUAUAAUUCAAAAUAUCCCAACAAAACAUCUAGGUUUAACACCGUCACGUGGCCAUAGUUUCAAAUCUAACUAUCGUUGCUGGGUCGACUGAUGCAUCUGCAAAUCUCCUGUAGCGGGAAAAAUAUAAUAAAAACAGGGUGAGUAUAAAACUCAGUGAGCUCAGUGAGUGGAUAGUAGUUUUUGAAAAAUAAAUUUAUUUAAAAUGAUUUAAUCUUUCCCAAAUAAAUUUCAUCAAAAUAUCAUAAGAACUUAAAUAAACAUAUUUAAUUAAAAUCAUGCACUAAAAUAACAAUAUUACAUAAAUCUGCAUAAAAUCAAUGAAAUCAUAACAUUCAUAAUAUCAAAUACUGAAUACCAAAAAAUAUCACCAAACAAGAACCCAGGGGAAUAAACUCAUCAUAUCCGGACCUCGACGGACGGACAAUCAAGGAACCGUCAUGCCCUGGAGCUAUAAGGGAUAGACGUGGAAAUGCCAUUUCAUAUCUCAUAUAUCUCAUCAUAUCUGUGCAUGUAUAAUCUGGUCCCCAAAGGAUAAGGUGCCCAAGUAUACAGCCCAAAACCUCUAUGUGUACUCAGAUAGGCCUCAAAUGCCUCUCAUCUCAUAUGUAUCUCAAUAUCUGUGUCUCUGUAAUUAUCAUACUAGAUGCAUAUGCCCCCAAAAGGCAAAAGCGCCCAAACACACGGCCCAAAGCCUCUAUGUAUAUUCAGACGGGCCCCAAAGACCCAUCAUCUCAUAUCAUUUGUAUCAUUGUAUCUAGAGGGGAAGGGUAUUGUCCAAUAAUUUUGCAAACAACCUUUUAUACACAUGUACAUAAACAUAUAAUCACAUCUGAAAUCUCAUUUCCUUUUUAUUUAACAUAUCUCAAAUCCACUCAAUUCUAUUAUCAUGCAUUUACUCAAAAUUGAUAAUAAAAUCAUUAAUCAAACUCAUUUUUAAUAAUAAUAAAUAUCAUCACGUAGAUAAAAAUUCAUUUUCUAGGAAAUCAUCAAAUUGAAGCAUCAAAUACUUAUUAUCAAAACAUGUUGUACUGUAUCGUAAGAUUAGAAUAUACUAUGAAAAUAGGUUUUGUAUAUUCCACUCACAAUGACGAUGUUCAGACUCGGUAUCAACAACGUCCGCGGGUUGAUUCUCAUUCGCGGGUUGUUGGUGAAUUUUUACUCAAUUGCUGUUGAUGCCAAUGUGCAAGUGUACACAACAAGUAAUAAAGUGAUGAAUAUUCUAGAUCGUCUCUACAGAGACUGAUGUUACUAGAAAUGCUACAGUAAUCACAAUAGUGCAAUCUACCUUUAUUUCAUGAUGAACCUAGUUAAAAUUGAUUACUACCGAAAUUAAAAAUUGUAAAGAAAUAAAACAAAUAAUUGCAGUAAUGAAAUAAAUUAGAUAAAUUGCGUAAAAGAAUCAAAUGAGAAUGAGGUAGUUGAAUGAUCAAACUCUCUUCAUGGGUUGACUGCUUUUCAUCAAAUUAGCACCAGUUGCUACAACAAUUCCUACAGCACUAGGCAGAAUUAUUUUGCAUCCUCAGCUGUCGCGUGUUGGGCUUCUCAUACCCUUAAGUAUCUUGACAAUGACCAGUUGCUAUUCUACCUACGACAUGGCAUUAUGAACAUCUAUUCUCUCCACCCUCCAAGGUGAGUGCCUAUAUCUAAUUCUUCACAAAUUUUAACUUCAAGCAUAGCCCUUAUGGGAUUCAAGAUAAACUUAAUCCAGGAAACUCAAAUUAAGAUCAAGUAUUACUCUAAUAACAUCCACUAAGACAAGCCCUUUUACGACUCUAUCUUCACUUGAACUAUUAAAUGGGUGGUCAACCGAAAUAACAGUUAUAAUAAUAGCUACUAGAGUAAAAUGCUACAACAAUUAUAUAGCAACUCAUAAGAACAGUCAAAAACCCAUUGAGAUUGUUUGUCACUCAACUACAAGCAAGUUUAGUUCAUACUUUGAAAAAGAAAAACAAACAGCAAACUAUUGGUCACGAAAUACAUCGGUUCAAUCAAAGAGUAAAGAAAAGAACAAGUAAAGAACAAUGAAGAUUGAAUCCAAAUAACUAUGUUGGAUUCUUCACUGAUGCAGCUUGGUUCUCUUGAAUUCAAAUUGUUUUCUUCUUUUCCUCUUGAUUUUUCCAAUGUUAAUUCAUUUUUGCCGUUUUAUGUGAUGUGCGCCCCUUUUUAUAACUGAAACCUAGGGUAAAUAAAAGCUUAGGGCGCGCAUGAGUGAAAUUAGAAAACUGUAGAUCGCAAUUCUGCAGAUAUCCCGCCCUAAGUUUUCUCUGUUGUUGUUCCAGGAUUGCUACAGCAAUGGUUGCUCUAGCAACGGCCAUAAUACUGCACCGAUCCAGGUUUUGUUUCCCUUAUUUUGUGGUCAUAUUCUUCCUCCUUUUUGCCAACCUAUUGCAUCAGCAUCCCUUCCAUGAAUUAUAAACUUCUGAAAACCUACAAUUAUGCACAUGUUUUGAGCACAAAUUACUUUAAAUCAAGCAAAACUUAUUAAGACUACACUAAAAUGGAUGUUUAUGCAAAACGUAACAAAAAUGUAAUAAAAACACAUCAUUACUCUCUAAGUGGUCUUGAUUUAAGUCUAGAAUUGCCAUAAUAACUCUCAUUUCAUAGAGUUAUCACGGGUCCUCCUAAUCAAGUAAACGACAUAAUUAUUAUCUGUAACAUGAAAUACAUCUAACAAUACAAAAUAAAGCUCGAAACGAAACUCUCGGAUACAUAAAAUUUCAAAAUUACCCUUAUAUCCUAAAAUUACCAAAAUCCCCCUAACAUCGAAAUUUACCGAAUUGCUGUCGGAACCAUAAUUUAUCGAAUUAUCCUCAAAAUCAUAAAUUACCUAAUUGCUCUCAAUUCAAAUCACAAAAUUAACCACAAGUUCUGGAUUUAUGAAAUUACCCUUAGAAUGCAAAAUUAUUAAAAUGCCUUCAACAACAUAAAUUAGCGAAUUUCCCCCAAAAUCUUUAAUUACCUCACUGCCCUAGUCUAAAAUUACCAAAUCAUCCACCAAUUUCAGAAAUUACGAAUUAAUCCCCAGAGUUUGCAAAAUUACCAAAUUGCCCAUGCCGGUCAACGGUACCGAAGUUCAGUCAACAGUGACGAGAAGCUCAGGUCUGAUAGUUCUGACCUCGAUCAGUCCAAUGGUGCCAAUGGUGACCCCCCAGGCGCAGCGAUAAUGGCGGAUCAAACUUCCCAAGCCGCAAGAUUUCUGACAGUUGUUCACAGCCAAAACGGCAGUUAUAGAUGGCGGGGUUGGUUGGAAAACGAUGAGGGUGAGCUGAGGAUCAAGAUCCAAGUGGUGAUGUGGCCUAAAUUUGGUGAAAUCAACAACGACGAAAGCGAGUUGAGUUGCGGUCCUUGAAGCUUCGAUCACCCGCGUUCUGGCUGUUUUCCGGCGACGAUGACAACGGGGAUAUGACCGGCAUCGCUCAAACUUUAGAUCGAUACCAAGCUUGACUAGAACGGUGGCCGAAAACAGGAGUUGGAGCCGGGUCGAUUUCGCCAGUCGGGUCGGGUCAAAUGGGUCAAUUUCUCUUUCUCUCGCAUGCCCCCUCUCUUUCCAUUUUUGGAAACCAGCUCCCCUCUUUCUAUUUAUAGAAACUAGCUUCCAUUUUUUUAAAGCUUACUACCAAUUAAGCUAAUGCGGGACCCGUGUUGAAAUAAAAAUCUGACUACACAGCCAUUGAAUCGUGUUCGAAUUGUCUCAUUUUAUGUCGUGACAAAUUUAAAAUAAUCCAAACACGAUUUAUUUAAUAAACGCAUAACAUUUAACAGUCACCACUCAUAAUGUCGGAUAAUCGUGUUGUAUCAACUUCACCGUAAUAAUUUGGAACAAGUGCGACAAAUUUAAAAUUAAUGUCGAAGGGAAAAAAAUUAAAUAAUACACUUAAUUAGGAAAAUUAAAGUGCAUAUGUUACAGUUUUAUUAUUAAUUAUUGACUUUUUUUUUUGCAAUUUAUUGUGACACAUAAAAAAUCAUAUUAUUGAAAUUCCCAAUUGAAUAUAUAAAGUGAGUAAGUAUAACAUUACUCUUUCCAUAAUUGAUAAGUAACAAGUAAGGAUGGCAAAAAGACUAGAACAUGUUCUUGUCUGAUUGACCUAACUUUAAUUUUUAGGGUUUUUAAUUGAAUUUAAAGGGUCAAGGAUCAAGUUUCAACCCGAUUACAUUCAAGUCUAGGUUAGGACUUUAUAAAAAAUCCUAACUCAACCUUUGACCCUUAAAUUAAUUUUCAAAAUUAAAAAAAUAAUACUUAAAAAUUAGAACACAUCCACUACAAAUGUGGUCAAAACUCACUCCUCAAACUGAUAGUAUUUUGUAUUCGAUUUAUUUACUUGCUAAUUUGGUUAGAUUUUUACAUGUUGGAUUUUCGUUAAAGCUAAAUAAAAAGUUAAUUUAUUAAAUGCCUUACAACCAAAUUUAUCAUAAAAUGGAACAAUAAUAGUACAAUAUAAUUAAUAAAGAAUGAAAAGUUGGAGUCCUACUAAAGUAUCUAAAAAUUAAAAGAUUAUUGCAAGGUGUGGAUAAAGCUCGAGCCUGAACUUGACUUGAAAAAGGUCGACCCUAGCCCAACCCUUACUUUUGAGGAUCAAACUUUUGAAAGUUAAGACCCUUUAUUUUUAAUUAUAAGGGCAAGGCUAGGGGUUGGCCAAGCCUGAGCUCAACUAGAUCAAUUGCCAAACUUAUUGAUAAGAAAAUAAUUAAUACAGUUGUGAUAUUUGACCCCCUGGUUGUACCUCACCAGUCCCCACUAAUUACUUUUAUACUAAUAUUUAUUUUAUCUUUGUAUGAAAUGAUUUAAAAGAGUAAAUAGCUUUUAAGUGCACCCACAUGAUAAUUUCCAUUAAUAUAUAAUUUAACUAAUUUAUUUUCUUAAACCUUAAUUUUUUUAAACUUUUUAAAUUAUUAUUUUUUCUUAAAUAUUGUAUACUUUACUUUGGAAGAAAUUAAUUUAUAGCACGAAAUAGAAGAUGAUGAAGAAAUAUUAAUUUUUUUAUGGUUAUGGUAAUGAUGGAUAAAUUUUUAAACAGAGAGAGAGAGAUUAUAGUGAUUUUGAGAUUUUUUUCAUUUUGAAAUAGAUUUUAUAAGUUUCAGUGCUUGGAAAAAAGAUAAAAAAAUCAUAAUAAAGCUAAGUUCGCGAUUCAAUGAGGUAUGUUGAUAUAUAAAGUUUAGUUUAAAAUUUUUAAUAGCGUUAACGGAAAGGGGUUGGUAAAAUAUAAUAAGUGGGUCAAAUCUACCACCCUAAUUAGUAUCAUUUUACUCGAAAGUUUUACUUAUAAAUUUUGGAUAUUGACCGGCUUUAAAUCUAAAAAAAAAUUGAGAAAAAGUUACUUUAAAAAAUCUAUACAUUAUCCCAAAAAGUUGUACCCAAAAAAAAAAAAAAAAUCAGCCCGUUCUGAUUAAAUUCAAAAUGAAAAAACCCGGCCCGUUUCCCUACUUAAGACCCUCCUAGCAGUUUUAAAAAAAAUUUCCCAGCGAAGAAUAGAAGUGAUGGCAGCUGCUCUGUCUUCGACGCAUCGCAAUGGGAAUUUAGCUGGUUUUAAUUCUCUCUCUUAGCUGUUUCUGUUUCUUUAAUUUAACAUUGUGAUAUAUAUUUAUUAUGCUAGAGGUUCAACUAAGUCUCCAUUUACUGGGACUUUUCUCAUCUUGGGAAAUGUUAAUUUUGCCUUAUUUAUUCAGUAUUGUUAUCUUCCUCUGUCAAUAAAUUUUAUGCUUCGGUUGGUUAUUCAAUGUGGGUUUGUUCCAUUUUGUUCUUACGCUGUUUGUAUAAAUAUUAAAGGUUUGUUUUUUAAAAUGGCUUUCAGUCAAUUGCCUUCAAAGCUUUAUUUCCUAAAAGAGGAAAGAAAAAUAUACCAAAAUGUUUAAUUUCUACUGCUAUAUGUUUGCGUUUUUAGCUUCUGCUAUGCUUUGUAUUGUGUUGUUUGUGUUGGUAUUAAUGCUAGAAAGAUGUUUUCUUCUCAAAUCUGAUUGCUUAGAAUGAAUAUGAGGUGGUUAUUGAGUUGCAAUAUAUCGAAUAAAUUGAAGACGUCUGCUUCAUAGGUUUUGAUUCUAUUAAUUGUUUUCAUUUCAAGCAUGACACAAUUGCAUGGGUGUUCGAGGAGGCUAAGGGUGAUUUCUUAGGGUUGAAGCUAUAACUUUCUUUUAUUAUUGUCUAGUAUCAAAACUUGAAAAUAAAGUUUAAAGAUAAUGCUUAUGAUACAAACACAAAUGAUUGGAAAGGUAACUUGAACAAAAUAGAAGGAAAUCAAUAAGAAUAGGUUAAUUCGAGGAACUCUAAACCUUCAAAAUAAUAUUGGUUAUUUGAGAAACCAAUAAACUCGUAAAAUUUAAUUUACAAGUUGCGAAAAUAAUAGUACUCAAGACACUCUUUUAUUGAAUAACAUCAAGCUUUAAAUAGAGCUUUACUUCAAAGUUACAAGCAUAAAAAUAAGCAAGCAUUAAGCAUGUUCUCCAUCAUUCUCCAUGAAUCCACAAAAUAAGGAACCAACUAACAACUUGAUUUUGACUUAUUAAAAACCAGCUACACUUAAAAUAUAAAGUAAAUAAUUACUUUAACUUUAUUACAUGUUCAAUAAAUUCUUACUUGAAUUCAAUUUCCAAGUGCAGUUGCAACCAGACAAAGUGAAAAGGCAGAUAUCUGUGAUUAAUAGGAAACUUUUAGUGUAAGUUUCUAUUCUUUGGUCAUUCUUAUAACUGAUUUUUCAUUCUUGUCCAAUAUUUUUUCAAUUUGCAUCUAUCAGUUUAUCCUAUGAGACAAUAUUCAUUUGGAACUUUUGUGUCGCCCGUUCAAUAAUCAUUUUUCCCCUUUUCCUGAAAAAUUUUCAAAUAUGUUGCUUCAGAAGAGUUCUUCCUCUAAGAUACCAUUGUUCUUUAGUAUAUCAAGUUUGCUUGGACUUUGCAGUUUUCAAGUUUUUACAUUUUGUUUAUUUUCUCAUCUGAUUCAGGCACUUUGAGGCAGUUGAGGCCAGGAUUCUUCGUGCAUCAUUUUCUGCUUUUGUAGAUGUGCUUACACUUGCGACAAAAACAAUCGUACAGUUUGGUCAUGGAACGGAAUUGUAACAUCAUACUAUCUUUGGCAGUUGGAGAAUCAUUCUUAGUAGGAACUGUAUUACUUUAAUUCGCCUUCUUGUUUCGGAUUAGUUGACGUUUUUGUAACAAGAGAAUCUAUAGUGUUCGUUUUAUAAUGUAAAUCUUCAAAUUAUCGGAAACCUGUAACAAAUUCUUCAAAGCUGUGAAUUAUAAGUUUUUUUUUUUUAAUCAUUAGGUUUUAUCAAGAGGUUGCAGCUGUAAAUGUUAUAAUCCUCCCUUAGACCUUUUCAAUAAAGUUUUUGACAAGCUAUCUCCAACUCUUUCAGUUUGGGCCAAGCUAGAUUGCCAGACCUCACUUCUAGGGCUUUUCUGUUUACCCCUCAAACAGUUCAAUCUGAUAUUGAUUUCGUAAAGUGAGUAGAAUGAAGAAUUCAUUAGUGCUAAUAUUCUUCCAGCCAUUGAUGCAAUUCUUUACCAUUGUGUGACGCAGGAGGUACCUACUUGGCUACCAAGUGGCCCUCAGCUUAACGUGCCUCGAUAGCCUUCAAGCUUUUAGAAUUCAUCUAGCUGGUGGAAUCCUAUCUGGCGUCUCUCUAUAAGUUUGAAAAUCAAGAAUUUUCUAUAGCAAGCGUCAAGGGAUUUCUUGUCACCCAAAAGGAACCCAGAAAAGAUAAAAUCGUAGACAGCACUGUUUCACAUGCUGGAAUUCUCGGGAGGGUGCUUAUCAUAUGCUUGUGGCUAUAAAUAUGCUCGAAAAAAAUUGAAAAUUGAUGCUGCAAUCCCUCUGAGCCUCAAAGCAAAAAAAAAUGCCCUUUUAUAGCAUUGCUAAGAUGAAAGAUUACAGACUUAGCAAGGCUGACAUUGAGCAACAAUUUUAUGCAUACACUUUAUCUUGGGCAGAAUCACCAAAAGUCGAUGCAUCUUAAAAUUUAGAAUAAAAGCAGAUUCGACUUGUAUUAUAAGAAAUUCAAAUGGGGUGUCACGGCUGCGUCCAUCUCUAGGAAAACUCGCUUACAAAAAAUGCUGAAUGCUUUGGCAAUUCUUGAUGGCAUCAAAAUGGCAGUUGAUUCUGGACUGCACCCACCAUUUUAAUGCAGUGAAAUCAAUCUUAAAGAAGAGACUUCAGAUGGAUGAUCAAAGGAAUGCUCGGUUAUGUAAGAAAAGGAAAACAAUUUAUAGUUGCAAUACACUCAUCAAUAAUCUCAGGAACCUCUGAUGAUUGAAUUACAAGCAUACCUGUUCAUGCAAGAUAUUUGAUGCUAUGCAUCCGAAACUUCAUCGACCUUUGCAUCUAAGAGAUCAUUAACCUUACAAGUCACAGAACCCAAAUGGUCCACAGUGUUCACAACAGUAUCGUAUUCGUGAACAGUACCGUAUGUAAACAGUACCAUAUGUAAAUAGUACUGUAUUCCCCCAAGUACGAACCGUGGGCUCUGAUACCACUUGUUGUGUGCAGAAUGUGGAAUCAAGCGCACCAAAUAAUUAUAGAAAAAUAAAGGACACAAGAAUUACGUGGUUCGGUAAUUAAACCUACAUCCACGGAGGCAAGAAAGAAUAAUUGUUUAUUUAACAAUUAAUAGAGUACAAUAUUUGAGUAAUGAAUCUCACUUCCCAGAAACCCAAAUAUACCCAGUACUCUGACACUCUGCAGGAAAGAUAAAUUCCCCAGACACACUUCUCUCUCUUCUCUCAAAAGCUUGGAAAAUUAUAAGCUUAACAAUUUUGGGAUACUUAGAAUGGAAGAAGUGUCAUCUAUUUAUAGGGAAAACAAUGGCAAUAUUGCACCAACCCCUCUACUAUUCUACCUAACCUAAGCAAAUUGUCGAUGGUGUCCAUUUGGCAAAUUUGACAAAUUUGCCAACUUUUCAUUUUUUUCUUCAAUUGUUUGGUAGCUCUUUGAAAAUUUGCAUGCUUUCUUGAAUUUGGAUGCCACAUGCAUGAAUUUUUAACAAUUCUCUACCUUGGCGAAAAUUUGUCUAAAUCUGAGCCGACUACCAGUGAACCAUCAUCCCCAAAGUGGCUGGAUCUCUGAUGACUGCCUACAUACCCAAUUUGGGAUUAAGCCAACCGUAGUUCAAUAUUCCUGAAGGACAUAACUUAACACAAUCGAAGGAUUUGAAUUAGUUUCAAGCAAUGUUAAAACUUAACUCUAGAAACUACCUUUGUCAAUAUAUCUGACGGAUUAUCUAUGGUAUCGAUCUUUCUCAACAACACAACACCACUCACGAUAAUCUCUCUCACAUAAUGAUAUUUCACAUCUAUGUGCUUCGUCCGACCGUGAUAUAUUUGAUUCUACGCAAGGAAUAUCGCACUUUGAUUAUCAUAGAAGAUCACAAUGUUCUCCUAGAUUACUCCCAAAUCACCUAACAAGCCUUUCAACCAGAUAGCUUCUUUUGCAGCUUCAGUUGCUGCCAUAUACUCUGCUUUCGUAGUGGACAGAGCAAUUGUCGAUUGUAGAAUCGACCUCCAGCUAACCGGACCUCCACCCAAUGUGAAUACGUAGCCCGUUAUUGAUCUUCGCUUGUCAAGGUCUCCAGCGAAAUCAGAAUCACAACACAUUGUUGACCACAAUCCUUAUUGAACAAUAACCCAACAUCAACUGUCCCUUACAGAUAUCAGAGAAUCCACUUUACCGCAAGCCAAUGAUUUUUACCCGGAUUUUGCAUGUAUCUACUAACCAUGUUCACUGCUUGAGAUAUAUCGGGCCUUGUACAUACCAUAGCAUACAUAAGACUACCCACAACACUAACAUAUGGAACACGAGCCAUGUAAUCACACUCCUCUUGAGAUCUAGGACAUGAAAAAGAGCUUAAUUUGAAAUGAGGAGCUAGAGGUGUUGUUGAUUGAUUUCUAUAAUCAAUUAUUAUCAAUGCCAAUGUGCAAGUAUACACAACAAGUAAUAAAGUGAUGAGUAUUUCAAGAUCGUCUCCACAGAGAUUGAUGUUACUUAAAAUGCUAAAGCAAUCACAAUAGUGCAAAUCAACUAAAGACCGAAACAAACAAUUGUCAAAUAAUUCUAUCGUAACUAAUAAUUGUGAGAGAUGGAAAUAAAAUAAUACUGUAAUGAAAUAAACUAAGUUAAAUGUGUUUAAGAUUCAAUUGAGAAUAUAGUAGUUGAAUGAUCAAACUCUCCUAAUGGGGUGACUGUUGUUUACCAAAUUAGCACCAGUUGUUACAAUAAAUGCUGCAGCAAUGGUUAGAAUAAAUCUGCAUCCGCAGCUAUCGCAUGUUGGAAAUCUCAUACCUUUAAAUCUACUAACAAUGACCAGUUGCUCAUAUAUUUAUGGUACGACAUUAUAACCUUUAAUCUCUCCACCCUACAAGGUGAACACCUAUGUCUAGAGUGUCACAAAUCUUAACUUCAAGUAUUGCCCUUAUGGGAUUCAAGGUAACCUAAUCAAGAAAACUCGACUUAAGAACAAGUAAUACCCUAAUAAUGUCCGCUAAGACAUACCCUUUUGCUGCUCUAUCUUAACUGAAACUAUUAAAUGGGUGGUCAACUGAAAUAACAGUUGUAUUCAUAAAAACUACUAAGAGUAUAAUGCUACAGCAUUACCAUAACAACAUAAAAGAACAGUCAAGAACCCAUUGGAUUAUUUGUCACUCAACCACAAGUAAAUUUAGUUCAUAAUCUGGAUGAGAAAAAUAAACACGAAUAUAUUGAUCUCGGAAUACAUCCAAACAAUUCAAGGAAGAACAGAAAAUAUAAGUUGAGCACGAUGAAAGAAAAAUAAUUAUGCACGAUUCUUUUCUUUGUUUCCGAAUAGCACUCCUAAAUCUUGAUCUCCUUCUUCUUGCCUUUGUAAUUAUUUUUUAUGAUAAUUCCUUGCCGCCUUUCUAUGUGGUGCACGCCUCCUUUUAUAUUGCAAAUUAGGAUAAAAGACCUAAAGUCCAUGCGCAUGCAUGUGUUUAAAUUAGGAAACAUGCAUAUCGCGAUUUUAUGGCUGACCCACACUUUAAGCUUUCUCCCGCAUUACUCUCUGAUUGCUGCAGCACUGGUUGCUCUAACAUCCACAACAACACUGCAUUAUUCCCGAUUGUGCUUGUCUUCUUUUGUGGCCAUCUUCUUUCCUCCUCUUGCUCAUCUAAUGUCUCAGCAUCCCCUUAUGAAUUUAAAACCUACAAUUAUGCACCUGUUUUUAGCAAAAAUUACUUGAUUUAAACAAAACUUAUUAAAACCCAACUAAAAUGAAUGUUUAUGCAAAAGGUAACCAAAAUGUAAUAAAAACACCUUAUUUUCUCUCUAAAUGAUCUUGAUUUAACUCUAGAAUUGAUGUAAUAACUCUCAUUUCCUACAGUUAUCAGGUGUACAUACCGGUUUAGUUUUGUCAUCAAUACCGAAUCUUUCUAGAACUUUCUUCAAAUAAGACUUUUGAGUCAACCAUACACUCUCAUUCUUCUUGUCUCUACGAAUCUCCAUCCUAAGUAUUCUCUGUGCAUCACCCAAAUCUUUCAUCUCGAACUCAGAAGCCAGCUGCUUCUUUAAUCUUUCGAUCUCAUCUCUAUUCUUCGAAGUUAUAAGCAUAUCGUCAAAAUAGAGUAACAAAUAGAUGAAAGCUCCAUUUAGUAGUCUUCUAAAGUAAACACAAUGAUCGUGUUCACUUCUAGUGAAUUUUUGCCCUUGUAUAAAUUGAUCAAAUCUUUUGUACCACUGCCUUGGCGAUUGCUUCUGUCCGUACAAAGAUUUAAUCAAUUUACACACAUGAUUCUCCUUUCCAGCAACUUUGAAACCACAAGGCUUAAUCAUAUAGAUUUCCUCCUCCAAAUCUCCAUGUAAGAACGUCGUCUUAAUAAUCCAAUUGAGCCAACUUUAACUCAUAUUCUGCAACUAAGGCAAGUAGGAUACGAAUGGAAGUAUGUUUUACAACUGGAGAGAAAACUUCAUUGUAGUCAAUACCUUCCUUCUGAGCAAAAUCUUUUGCAACGAUUCUUGCCUUGUAUCGAGAAGUUGAUUGAUUUGGAGAUCCUUGCUUCUUGGUGUAGACCCAUUUAUUGCCAAUAGCCCUUUUUCCCUUUUGGUAACUCCACAAGUUUCCAAGUCUGGUUUUGAUGGAGAGAUUUCAUCUCUUUUUCCAUGGCUAACUUCCAUUGAUCACUUUCACUGCUGUGUAAUGUUUCACUGAAAGUGUUGGGGAUUUCAUCAUCAAUAACUAGAAGUGCAUAGGCUACCACCAUAUCUUUAGUAAGCCAUCCGAGUUUCUUUAUCUCUCUGUUUGGCCUCCUUGUUGCUAUAAAAUCAUCAUUAUCUACAUCAUCAAUUGUUUCUUCAUUUUGUGAGACAUUAGAAGAAACAACAUCUUCUUCAACUCUAGGUGUCACCCCCAUAGUUGAACCCUUAUCUGAUGUAGAACUAACUGGUACAUAUGGAGUUGCAUCAAACUCCACCCGCUGCAAUACCUCUUUGGUCUUGUUCUCCACCUGCUGAGAACUUGAAGCUUUCAUCAUUAAAGCUUCAUCAAACGUGACAUCUCUACUACACACAAACUUUUUAUCUUCGAGAUCCCAAAGCUUGAAGCCCUUUACUCCACAUUUGAAUCCCACAAAGAUAGCUUUUCUAGCACGAGGAUCCAGUUUACCAUCUUUGACAUGAUAAUAAACUGGACACGCGAAUAUACGAAGAGAAUCAUAGUCUUGUACAUGCUUUCCAGACCACAUUUCCAUAGGAGUUUUACCUCCAAUUACAACAGAAGGCAACCGAUUUACCAAGUGACUUAUGUAGCUCACAGUUUCAGCUUAAAACUUUUUAUUUAAACCAGCAUUAGAUAACAUACAUCGUACCUUCUCCAGUAAAGUACGAUUCAUACGCUAAGCCACACCGUUCUGUUGCGGAGUAUGUCUGAAAUAUCUUUAAUACCCUCGUUCUGGCAUACUUGCAAGAAUGGAUCAAAAGUAUAUUCACCCCCAUUAUCAGAUCGUAAUACUUUGAUCUUUCUGGCAGUUUGAGUCUCCAUCAAUUUCUUUCAUUUCACGAAAAUCUCUAAAACCUCAUCCUUUGCUCGCAUGGUGUACACCCACACACGUCUAGAGAAAUCAUCAACAAAUGUAACAAAAUAAUGGCUUCCACCAAUUGAUGCAGUCUUGGUUGGUCCUCAUACAUCACUAUGAACAUAUUCAAGGAUCUCACGAGUAUCGUGAUUAACUGUACCAAACUUGACUUUUGUUUUCUUGCCUACUACACAAUGCUCACAGAAAUUUAAUUUACAGGUUUUAAUACCUUUUAAGAGUUCGUGCCUCAUUAGAGUUUGCAAAUACUUCUCUCCAGCAUGUCCCAAUCGUACAUGUCAUAGCUUGGUGGUGUCAUUAUGCGCCUCAAUAACAUUUGCUUCAUCAGUUGUACCUCCCUUCAAAUAGUACAGAUUGUGACGCUGAACCCCUUGCAGAAUCACCAUAGUCCCAUGUGUAAACUUCAUUGUGCCAUCUCCAAUGGUAACCUUGUAGCCUUUAGCUUCCAAAGCACCUACAGAAAUUAGAUUUUUCUUUAAAGCUGGAACAAAUCUAACCACUUUGAGUUCUUUGAUCAUUUCAUCAAAUAUUUUGAGUCGAAUUGUUCUUAUCCCUAUUGUGCGACAAGGUUGAUCAUUCCUCAUCAUAACUGCACCAGAUUCCAAUUCGUUAAAAUCCGUAAAUCAUUCCUUAAUGGGACACAAAUGAUAGGUUGCUCUAGUAUCAAGUAUCCACUCGCUCGAACUAGCCACGUAUGCUGCAGGAGUAAUACUUAGUGAAUAAUCAGAGUCUUCAUCUUUUCGUGCCAUGUUUGCUGCUGCUGGUUUCUUCUCAUCUCUCUUUUGAGCCUUUGGACAAUCUUUCCUUCAAUGACCCUUUUUAUGACAAAAGGCACACUCGUCUCGAGCUAUAUUUCUGCUUCUCGAUUUGGAUCGAGAAUUCUUUCCACAAUGCUUUUUCUUUUUCUCCAUCGCCCAAUCUCUGCUCACCAAAGCUUCAGACGAUGCUCGUUCAAAAUUUUUAUUAUUAUUCUGAAUCUCUAAGUUAGUCAAUGCUUUGAAAACAUCUUUGAAGAUGAUCACGCUUUUCUCAUAUAUCAAGGUAGUCACAAAAUGACUAUAUUCCUCUGGUAGUGAGUGUAACAGAAUCAUAGCCUUGACUUCAUCCUUAAUAUCUUCAUCAAGAUUCUUCAAAUCAGCAAGUAACUUUUCAAAUCUCGAGACAUAAUCAUGCAUUCACACCCCAGGCUUCAUUCGAAAGCCAUAUACUUGGUUCAUUGCAUGAAGGCGAUUUUCAGGACUUUUUAGCAAGUACUUCUCUUCCAAUGUACGCCACAAAGUCAUCACACACUCCUCAUCCUUCACCAAGUAUUUGACCUCCUUGGUCAAAUAAGAUCUGAUCUGACCACAGGCUUUUUCAUUCAUAUGAUCCCAAAUUUCUUCAUCAUAUAAAUGUCUUUUAUUUUUCAGAACAACAUCGAGAUCGAUUUGAAUAAAGGCGUCCAUAACUUCGCGCCUCCACAUGCCGAGGUUGAUUUUCCCAUUAAACUUUUCAACAUCGAUCUUCUGGCCUCCUAUAAUAGGUGAUCAAUAGCGAUUUGACAAAUCUCGCCUCCCACCUAAAGUGUCUCCUGAAAUAGUCUCGGUAAAUCUCUCCCCAAUUCUGGAAGUUUCACCUUCUACCAUUUUCUCAACGAACUAUUUCCACUUGAAAAACAAUCUCUAUUAUGUUAAUUUCGCUUGAAUAAACGCACCAAGAAAGUUCCCAAGAGACUGGACGAGAACUCGGUCCCAAUUAAAAACUAUAAUCCUUAGACUAUUAUCGCCUUUGUUGAUAGAACUUUCCUAGACAUGCAAAAAUACACACUACUUAUAAUAGAUUGUCUCCCAAGUACAAAUGGCCGUCUCCACCGUAUUCGUGAACAGUACCGUAUCCCCCCAAGUACGAACCGUCGGCUCUGAUACCACUUGUUGUGCGCAGAAUGUGGAAUCAAGCGCACCAAAUAAUUAUAGAAAAAUAAAGGACACAAGAAUUACGUGGUUCGGUAAUUAAACCUACAUCCACGGAGGCAAGAAAGAAUAAUUGUUUAUUUAACAAUUAAUAGAGUACAAUAUUUGAGUAAUGAAUCUCACUUCCCAGAAACCCAAAUAUACCCAGUACUCUGACACUCUGCAGGAAAGAUAAAUUCCCCAGACACACUUCUCUCUCUUCUCUCAAAAGCUUGGAAAAUUAUAAGCUUAACAAUUUUGGGAUACUUAGAAUGGAAGAAGUGUCAUCUAUUUAUAGGGAAAACAAUGGCAAUAUUGCACCAACCCCUCUACUAUUCUACCUAACCUAAGCAAAUUGUCGAUGGUGUCCAUUUGGCAAAUUUGACAAAUUUGCCAACUUUUCAUUUUUUUCUUCAAUUGUUUGGUAGCUCUUUGAAAAUUUGCAUGCUUUCUUGAAUUUGGAUGCCACAUGCAUGACUUUUCAACAUACUGGACAUGAUUUCGAAAGGGAUUCAUCUUCUAGUGGGUCAAUUUUAAAUAGUGUCUCAAUUUCUGUGGAUGCCGACCCUUAAUUUCAAACAAAUGGUGACAGAGAAGAAUGGCCUUGAAACUGUUUGUAUUUCAUAAAUAAGAUUGUUAGACUUUUCCGAUACUAUCAUUCUUGUAUCCUUACAGUUUCUUUGGGCACCAUCAUUUGUAAUUAAACACUUCCAAGUCAUUUCAAACAAAUUUUCCACUAUUUAAUUGCAUGCGCUGCAUCUUCCUCGUUUUUUUUUCUUUUCUUUUGGUGGGGGGGGGGGCAAAUGGAGGAGAUGAAGGAAAAAUCUGUUGAAAUUAAUUUCGUAGUUGAAGUUUAUAAAUGCAAGAUGAUAUGAUCUCAGAGUCUAUUAAAUACUGAUGUGCAAGAACUUUAGCACCAUGUGACCUAAUAUCUCUAGUAAAUAGGAGAGAACAACUUGAGCACUUAAAGAGGGCCAACGUUAAAUAAACUCCAGAGUGGCAUGUCGGAAUUGUUGGCUUAUUGUUAUGCAGGACUUUCCCGGUAGUGAAAUAAAGUCGAAAGGAAGAUGGGAGGAAAUAAAGAUCAAUGCGCUUUCUUGUAUUUCAUGGGUUAAAAAUCUUUUUAUCUGAUUACAAACUGAUAGAUAAAAUACCCUUGUAUCAUUUGUGAGUGAAUCUCUUAGGUCAAAUAUAUAAAGUUAGAACAAUCCUCAACUCUUUAGUUAGAUUUUGAGUAUGGCUUAAACCCAUGAACUUUUAUAUUUUAUUAGAGAUAAACUCACCCACGAUUAUGCCCGCACUACCUCCCACAGUACCUUACCACUAGACGCCCUUCACAUGGAGGCUUGGGUACCACUCGAAAAGUCAUUUGAAAGAAAAGUCUGUUUAAAAUUACGUUCCAAUUCUGUACUCUCAGCUCUCCAAGUUAUAAAUUGAUAUUCAACUCAUGUUAUAAAAGGGUAAUGCUAGAGGAUCCCAUCUCGGGUACCAAUGGAUGGAUGUGGCAUUCAUUAAGUGGAUAGUAGAAUAUUUAUUUUAUCAGUUAUAAAAUUUAUUAUUCAAUAGAUAAACAAUAUAUAAUAGUUGGGACUCAAAUCGGGACUUAAUUGGUGGGUCACAAUCAUUAUUGGUUAAAAAAAAUGUACAGAGAUAACUAGCGUAAGAGGUAAAUCAAAAACUCUUUCUUUCUCUCUGCUAAGACCCUUUCUGCCACCAGCUAAAAUUCACUAGCUUUGAUCAAUCAACGUGCCUGAAUUACAGAGCCACCACAUUUUCGAACCUCUAAACUUUCAAAUCUAUUUUCCAACUCUGUUUUUCCAACCACUGCAGCCUCGGACCAACCGAAACUCCCUGCUGCUACCUCUAGCUACCACGUCGCCAAUUGCCCAUCACACAGCAAAAAAUUAUACUAAAGGAGUUUCAGUCGGGGAGGGAACCAGUACGUCAAUUCUUUUUUCUUAUUUUCUAUUUUUCUUCUAUAUUUCUUUUGUUUUUAUUUUCGUCUCUGCUUCUGUUAUUGUGCUUGUUUUUAUGUUUUG
rnacentral:lncRNA from 1 species